UGGUGGUUACAUCUUCGUUGUGCCCCGCCUCUCCUCAGAGGGCUAAAUCGCCUACAGAUUCUACAACACCAAUCAAUACUCCAAUUGAUGGUCACCACGUGGAGACCUCUGCAAUUGUGAUUGUACCAUCCCCGUCAUUGGCCUGCAAAAUCACUUUUCAUCUAUCGAGGGUUUGGAAACUACAGAUGUGGUAGGUGAUCCUUAUAUUGGUACGUCUAUUGCCAUUGUUGAAAUUUGAUUAUGACCAUAUCAUUGUUGAAAAUGAGAUUGGCUCAAAAGUUUGGGUUGAUCCUAAUGAGAUGGAGGAGGAUGUCAGUGAUACUGGGGAGAAGAUAGUUCGUACUAAAAGAAAACCAGGGAGACCACCUAAAGGGACUGGUAAAUCCAAAAAAACUGCUAAGACAAUUCUCACCACAAUGAAGUUCUUUUAUUUUUUAUGGAACGUUAGAGGACUGGGAAACCACAAAACUGUGGAGAUGUUGCUUAGUUUACUUAAACUGUAUAAACCCCUUCUGGUUUUUCUUGCUGAACCUAUGAUGUUGUACACUAAUGUUUUUUAUGUCCUUUACAAAUUUGUUAAUAUGCAUUUGGUGGCUACGUCUCCUAUUGUUAAUAAAUCUGCUAAACUUUGGUGUUUGUCGAUCCCUAAUCUGGUCCAAGAUUUCUUGAUAAAUGAACAGUUUAUUUCUGUAACUUUCCAACACGUAAAAGACACCCACUAAUUUGCAACAAAGCAAAAUAUAUGGAUGAGCAAAUUGUGUAGCUAGUCUUAGGGGUGACUCUAUAUGCAAAGAAGAAAAUAACACACUUCAAAAUAAGUUGAAAUUUGUUAGAUUUAUUAACUCACCUUCACAAUAUCACCAGCAAUGUAGAGAACACAUGAGGAUGCAUUUCCAUUAGGUGCCAUUAAUGUUCUAAGAGAAACAUGAAAUAUAGCCAGAAUUAAUACUUUAUGUCCAUGCUCUUUCAACAUCAAAGCCAGAAAAUAUGUGAGUGUUGAAAUAUUUUAAUUGAAUUUUUUAAAUUAAAACAUUGAUUAAUUACAUUAUAUAAUAAAAAUUAUUUUGAUAUUACAUUUAAAUUAAAUUAAUUCAUAGAAUUUUUAAUUUAAAUAAUAUUUUGAAUUUAUUAUUAUAGAUUUAAUUUCAUGUUUAAGUAAAAUUAAAAUAUUAAAAUAUUACUUUAGAAUGUUAAUUUUUAAAUUGAUUUUAACUAUUUCAGUAUUAUACUAAAAUUAAUAAUUUUAUUGUUAUAUUUAAAAUAUUAAAUUUAUUGUUAUUCAUUUAAAAUAUUUUAUAAAUUAACAAUUAAGACACAAAAUCGACACAAAAUAAUAGUUUAUAAUUUUAUAAAAUUUAGUUACUCCAAAAUAAAUAAUAGUAACUAAAAAUUUAAGUCUUUAUGAUAAUUAGAAAUAAUAAAUGGUUUUUAAUUUCAUUAUUUUUAUUAAUAAAAAAUAGUCUCUAAAAUAGAUUAAAAAUACUAAAAAAUUAUUUCUAAUUACAUCUUAAUAAACUAUUUUAUACAUUAAAUAAUUUUUAGUUUAUAAAAUAAUAUUUAAAUUAAUCGAUAUAAUAAUUAAUUAUUUUUUUUCUUUAAAUAAUUUAUAUUUUUUACUGUAAUAUUUUCUUUAUUUAAAGAUUUCAUUUUCUUAGUCACGUCACUUCUUUUCUAAAAAGUAGUCCCUUUCUAAGGAUUCACUUCAAGUAUUAAGGAAUUAAUUUGUCAACUUCAUGCAUAGCUCUUUCUCUUAAAUCAUGCUUAAAUUGACUUACUGCAUUAUGGCAUAAGCAAUGAUCCGUCUUAUGUUUUUUUUUUUUAUCAGCAAUGAAUAAAUAAAAUUUAAAGGGAUACUUCAGGGGUAUCCCAACCCAUAUACAGUAACCAGAAGUGGACUUCCUAUAUCAUCCACAAAAGAUGCUCUCCUUUAUGGUUGAAGCAGAACAACCUUAAAGUGAGAAAACCAUACCCAAAAAUAUAACCAACAGGUUACCUCAAAGCAACACUCAACUUUACCGAAACUCCCAGGACCGAGGCCACCUACUUUCACCUCGCCACGCGACUACACACAUAUGGAGAACGCCGCUUCAUCGAUCGCGAUCAUGUUGACCUAUGGUGAACGCCGCUUCAUCAACCGGCGAUCAUGUUGAUCUUUGCAUACCUUCGGCGACCACUGACUACGCACGCAUGGAGAUCGUCGUUUCCUCGACCGGCGAUCAUGUUGACCUUUGCAUAACUUCGACGACCACCGACUACGCACGCAUGGAGAUCGUCGUUCCAUCGACCGGCGACCUUAACUUCGACGACCACUGACUACGCACGCAUGGAGAUCGUCGUUUCAUCGACCGGCGAUCAUGUUUACCUUGUAUAACUUCGACGACCACCGACUACACACAUAUGGGGAAUGCCAUUUCAUCGAUCGGCGAUCAUGUUGACAGCGCCGCUUCAUCGACCGGCGAUCAUGUUGACUUUGCAUACCUUCGACGACCACCGACUACGCACACAUGGAGAUCGCCGGCGAUCCCCAAAACCUGCUUCAGCUAAGUUCUGCGUCAAAACCUUCGACUACUCACGCAUGGAGACCAAUAGAACACCCCGCUUCAGCUAAGUUCUGCGUCAAAAGAUCACCAGUCACAGUAAAACCACCAAACCAACUGCCUUUUGUCUAAUGUCAGGUAUGCUAUGGAAUCUUCUUGAAUGGCACAAGCCGUGCAAGGGCUCUUCUACUUCUUCCCAACAUCAGGGGUGAUUAACUUGGCAGUCCUUGGCUCCGAACCAGUUAGACGCAUGGUGAGUUAUAUUGGUCCAGAAUUUACAGCAACUCUGCUUCCAAAACGUUCCCAACAUGCCUUAGUUCACUUGCUUCCCUUUAGGUACCUGCAACAGAGUCUACACCAGAUUGUCCUCACUGUUCAUAACCAACCUAGUGGCAACCACAAAAGGCACUACCAAAAGAUAACGUUCAGCCAGGUUGCCAAGAACAAAAAUCACACACAUCACCAUUCCUCCCUAGACACCUCAGAGGCCACCAAAAAGUUUAGGUAUACAACAGAACCGGCCAACUUAGGAAAAGGCCAAUCUUGGCCCCCUUCAUUUAUAACUCCCGAUACACGACACUGGAUUUAAGAUCCAAUCAACGAAAGAAUAAUCGAACCUUUGUACCUUGUGCUUCAUCCAUAACCAGGAUUUAAGUUGGGCUUUUUGGAACACCUCUUCUGCGUCUACAGCACUUUGCUUAAACACCACCGAAUUUCUGUGCUCCCAAAUACCUUUCCACACGGAGCUUUGUUUGUUGUUGGCCUGAGUUAGUAGGAAGCUCUCAAAGUGGCUCAUAAGUACAUUACUUUCUACAGACAGAAUGUCGAUCCAUCUAUGACACAGGCUUCAUACCCGCAACGCCAAAUCACACUCCAUAAAGAGAUGUUGACUUGAUUCGAUCUUGUCAUGGCACAGUACACACGUGGUAGACUCUAGCAUCACCCCUCUCCUACUCAAACACUCUCUAGUUGGCAGUCUAUCCAAAAGGGCUCUCCAUAUUGUAGUUAGGACAUUGGGGAAGGCCCUUGCCUUCCAGAGAUACUUGAACACUUCACUUUGACGCCCUCCGUCAGUACUAGCUAGGCACAGAUAUGCUGAUUUCACUGUGAAGCACCCAUUUUCAUCGUUUCCCCAUACCCGUACAUCUGACUGCUCCUUGUUAACACAUACGCUAGAAAUGUGAGUUACUAGCUCUGUUUCCAACUCCUUUUCCCAUUCAAAUCUGUCUCGCCUCCAACUUAAGGUCCAUCGCCAUACUAACCCUUCCCAUGCACCCACCUCUUCCACCCUUUGCCCCUGAUUCUGCGAUAAUGAGUAAAGUCUGGGGAACAACGUUUUGAGUUUAGUGCUCCCAACCCACACAUCCUCCCAGAAUCUCGUUUUAUUGCCUCAACCUAGCUUCCAUCCCAUUUGUGCUUGGAACCAUCCUUCUCCACCUCCCUCCCUGCACGCUUUAUUGAGGUCCCUCCACCACCAAGAUUGCCUUUUUAAAGGCGUUUGCAUUGGCUCAUCUUCUGGUCCAUAUUUUGACUCCAAGAGCUCCUUCCAUCUUCCUCUUUCUUCCGAGUGCCAUCGCCAUCUCCAUUUAGCCAGUAGGGCGUAAUUAAACUUUUGGAUAUUAGUAAUCCCCAGCCCUCCCUCCUCCUUUGGUUUACACAAGUUCUCCCAGUUUACCCAUGAGAUCGGCUUCUUCUCCUUCCCCCACCCCCACAGAAACCUUCUUUGUAGGCUAACAAUACUCUUGCAUACUGAGUUCGGUGCUCUGAACAGGGAUAGGUAAUACAGAGGUACUGCAGUGAGUACUGAUUUUAUAACACAUAUUCUCCCGGCCAUGGAUAAGAACCUCCCUUUCCACACACUGAGCCUGGCUUUCAGCUUAUUAAUAACUGGCUCCCAAAACUUCUUCCUCCUUGGGUUGCCGCCCACUUCAAGACCCAGAUACUUAAAGGGUACUUCCAUCUGAGAACAAUUCAAGGUCUUAGUGUAGCAUAGAAGGUUGUCUCUAUGGACAUUAACGCCUGCUAACUUAGACUUAUGAAAGUUGAUCUUCAACCCGGACGCUACCUCGAAGCCCCUGAGGAUAGCCUUUAGGGUUACCACGUUCUUGAAAGAGUCCUCACAUACAAACAAAGUGUCGUCUGCGAACUAAAGAAUACAUAGCUAAAGCUCAUUCCUACCAAUCUUCAGACCUGAUAGGAGGUUGGCCUUACUGUCUGCCUCACUAGCCCAGUUAGUCCUUCUACAACUACUAGAAAGAGAAACAGGGCUAGUGGAUCUCCCUGCCUCAAGCCCCUUUGUGGUUUGAAUUCUUCCGUCGGACUUCCAUUGACCAGAACAGACACUGUAGCAGAUUCCAUACACCCACGAAUCCAUCUGAUCCACAUAUUGUGGAACCCCAUCUUGUGUAGCAUGUCGUACAAAAUCUCCCAUCGAACCGAGUCGUAGGCCUUUUCAAAAUCUACCUUCAGGCAUAGUCCACUUCGACCACCCUUUCUAAGAUCCUCGACAACUUCAUUGGCCAUAAGAACACUAUCUAGUAUUCCUCUAUCUUUCAAAAAAGCCGAUUGGCAGUCGUUUAUGAUCGUGGGGAGCACCUUCUUGAUCCUUCCAGCCAGCACCUUGGAUAGUAUUUUGUACAUAGCUCCUACUAGGGAAAUGGGUCUGUAGUGGUCAAAAUGAACUGGGUUCCUUACUUUGGGCACCAAUGCGAUGAAGGACGCAUUACACCCCUUAGGUAUGCAGCCUGUUUCAUGCAACAUAUCCAUCACUUCCAUGACCUCACCCUUCAGAGAGCCCCAACUCUUUUUAAUAAAAUUGAAGUUGAAACCGUCGGGUCCUGGACUUUUUGAGCCUUCACAUUGGGUCCUGGGCUUUUUAAUAAUUAAGUUUUACUAUCAGUCUGAUAUUGGAUUUUUUUACAUCCAAUAUUAUGAUUUUGUUAAAUAAAAAUUCAUAGGUUAACAUUUUAACUUUCUCAUUUCUCAUAGGAAAUCAAGUACACAUUUUCUUUAGGAGAUGAAAAUUCAUUUUUGGAAUAAGCAACCUCUAAUAUAAGGAAAUGCUUUCAUUUCAAAUUGGGCCACCAUUUUUUUCUUUAAAAGCUAAUUUCUAUAUUUCAUAUCUCUUACAACAGUAAUGAGUUGUUCUUUAUAGUCAAAACGAAAUGAAAAGCAUAGGAAAUUCAUAUGAUCAAUUGCUCCUAAAUCAAGAAUUCAAACACCUUGAAAUACGUGACUAGUAGUAUUGAAUGCACCAUUUAAUAGUUAAGUUCAAUUAUUAUUUUUAAAUCUUAAUUUUUUUUACCAUAAUUCGAAUUUGGUAUAACUUCAUUACACAAAAAUAGACUAAGUAAUGUCAUGAGAUUGCUCAAAUCAUGAGAAUACUUUUAACACAUCAUUAGUAAAAAUGAUUUUGCUUAUAUCUCUUUAGCUUUUAUCUUGCUUAACGAGUAAACGAAAAUAUAAAAAAGGUAUGCAUGGUGAUUGGAAUCUCAAGCUACCCAAUUUCCAAACAAAAGAAAGAAACAAAUGUAGAUGAAGAAUGAAAUAAAGAAAGGCAUAAUUUUGAGACAAAAAAAAAGAGCACACAAAAAUAGAAAAGACACAUAAGUUAGAGUAGAAGACAAAAUAAAGAAGACGACGCCAUGUGAAGAGAGCAACACGAUGGGAUUGAUAUCCUAGAAAAAGCGACAUGGUAUGUCACUUUUAGAGAAUACGAAGAAAAUGUUGUACCAUCGUAACAAAAGAGAAAUGUAUUGUAUCAUAGAAAUUGUACAAGUUUAUUUUCACAAAUAAUUCAAUUUUAAAAGCAACUCAAAAUAAAUGUAAAAUAUUAUUAAAUUGACACGUAAGUAGGUGCAUAAAAUAGGAGGUGAAAAAGAAAAAUUAUACAAACUUUGAUACAUCAGUUUUAAAACAAAAUAUAUAAUAAAAAUAAAUUUAUGAUUAAAUAAUAUAAAAAAUAUUAUUUUGAUAAGUGUAAAUGAAAAGAAUCAGUUUAUAAUGUUUGACCAAUACAGUUUUAAAAUUAUUUCUCUUCCUAAUUAUAAUCUGGUAAAAAAUUAAUAUAUCAGUUAGUAUUAAGAAUUGUAAGAUUAUUUUGUUACUGAAAAAUUAAAAGACAUGAGAAUCUAUUAUAAUAAUCUAAUGAUAUUUUAAAAUAAAAUAAAAAUUAAAUAUAAUUAAAAUAUUAAUUUAUUGAUUAUUAAGUAUAUAUUUAUUAUUUGAGUAAUGAUGCAUUUACGAGACCCACAUUUUUUAUAUCACACUACAAUUUCUAAUACUAUUAUUUUAAUAUUUUUUAUAUCAUUUAAUUACUGAGUUAUCAUUUAUUAUAUAUUAUAUAUAUUUUUAUUUAAACCCAUAAAAUAAAAAUUUAGAAACUCUCAAUGUUCUCAAAAGCAUCAUUUCCCAUAUUACUUGUAUGGUGUAAACCUAUGACCAACCUGCAAAAUAUAUAGGUUUUGAUAACAGACAAAAGAGAGAAGAGUGAGUAGCUAGUGCGAGAGGUCUGAUACCAAAAACACAGAUAGAAAGAAGAAAGCUUGGUACCGAAACGCAGAGUCAUAUACUGAUGGACGGAGGAGGAGUGCGGAAGAGGAGGGGUUGCUCCGUUCAGAAAAACGACUUCCUCCCGGAGGAAUCGUUCAAGAGCUGGGGGAACUACAAGGCGGCGCUGCUGGAAACGCCGCGGAGGCUCAAGGACCGAUUCCUCACGCGAUCCAAUGAGCGAGUGGAGAUCGGCGAGAUGACGGUGCGUAGCAGCCACCAGAUGAAGAAGACGCUCAACUGGUGGGACCUCAUCUGGCUCGGCGUCGGCUCCGUCAUCGGCGCCGGAAUAUUUGUCCUCACCGGAAUGGAGGCCAGGAACGUCACCGGUCCCGCCGUCAUCUUGUCCUUCGUCGUGUCCGGUUUCUCCGCCAUGCUUUCCGUCUUCUGUUACACAGAGUUUGCCGUCGAAAUCCCCGUUGCCGGUGCGUGACUCGUUCCUUUUAGUUCCUUUUUUUCGCUGUUUUUUAGUGUGAUUUACAAACUCUGAUUCUGAUCUUUUUUGUUAGGGUUAUAAUUAGUUUUGUUUUAUUCUCCACUAGACAAAAAUAACAGUUUUUUACGUAAAAGACGAAAUUAAAAUUUUGGGUAAUUUCGUUGAAUGUUCAAAAUUGAUACCUCCACAUCAUUUCAAUGUUUAAUUUAUAAAAAAAUUAAUUAGGGUUUUUAUUUGCCUUAAAAAUUUUGAAAUAAAUCUUUUUUAAUCUCUUGAAUUAAAAAAUAAAAUACUUUGACUAUCUUAAAAUGUGAAUUUAAUCCCUAAACCUUAAAUUUUAGGAAAAGAAGUGGUAAACAUUCAGUUACAUUUAUUAAAUUUAGUGUUUAGAAAUUAUUUUCCAUUUCGAAGUGCUAAUUUUGUUUUCAAAAAAAUUGGAGGGUCAAAGUUAAAACUAUUUAAAUUUAAGGGUUUUUAAUAAAAUUAAAUGUUUAAUGAAUAAGUUAAUGUGAUCCCUAAUUAUCAACUACAAAAAAUAACAUUGUAUCCUUAUUAGCAGAAAUUAUGAUUUAAUAAUUAGCUACAGUAACAUCAGGUCCUGGUUACCUAACAUUAUAUCCUCCUUAAUUAGGAAAUAUUAUAUUAAAUCUCACGUAUAAAGUCAAGUGAAGAUAUUAGAUUUUAUCAGAAUUUGUGGACCUAAGUCUUUCAUAUCAUUUAUUAAGUCUUUAUAUUAUUUAUUUAUUUAUUUGUAAUUAAUAAACAUAUUUUUAACCGUUUUUUAUUUCUACUGAUUAAAUUUUAUCAGCAUAAUCUAUUUUGUUGAUUUUACUAUUUAUAAUUAUAACAUCAUCAAAAUUAAUAACAAAUAUUUGUUUUAAAAAUUAUUUUUAUAAAUUUUAACAUUUAUUAUAAAAGGGAAUACCCAAAAGAAUAAGUAUGUGUAUUUUCAUUAGUUUAUUAUCUGAAAAUUUAUUUAGCAGUCUAUUUUAUAGAAAAAAAAACUUAUAAAUAAACUCAUAAAUGAAAAAUCUAAAAAUAUUAAUAAAUUGUGUUCAUUAUAUUUAAAAAUUACUUUUGUAAAUAUUAAUAUUAAAAAUAAUAAAUAAAUAAUAACGGUGAGUUAUUAUAAUAAAAAUGUAUCCAAAAAAUGGAAAGGUUUCAUUUUAUUAUAGAAAAAAAAAUCAUAAACUAAAAGAAUUAAGUAAUAAUGAAAAUAAAAUAAUGCAGAAAACUAAAAGCUUGCUUACUUUCAACAGCAGCAUGCUAAUUACUUUCAACAGAAGCAUGCUUACGACCACAAAUUUACAGAAUUUCUCUAUAAAGUAUAUACUUGCAAUACCUAUAAUAGCGUAAUAUAUACAUAUAUACAUCAUGAAUCAAUAAUGUUCUUGAAUUUGCCAUCAACUUGUUCUUGUUUUCUUGUUUUGUUUCUCUUUUGUUUUUCCUUAGGUGGGUCAUUUGCCUACUUGAGAGUGGAGCUAGGAGACUUUGUGGCCUUCAUAGCCGCCGGAAACAUCCUUCUUGAGUACGUAAUAAGUUGUGCCGCAGUAGCAAGGUCAUGGACCUCAUACUUCGCCACCCUUUGCAACAAAAACCCUGAUGAUUUUCGCAUAGUGAUCCAUAACAUGAACUCCAAUUAUAGCCACCUUGACCCUAUAGCUGUUCUCGUCCUUGUACUCGUAUGCAUCCUUGCGGUUCGCAGCACCAAAGGCUCUUCAAUCUUCAACUACAUUGCCUCAGUUGUACACAUAAUCAUCAUUGUCUUCAUAGUCAUAACGGGUCUUAUCCACGCCAAGCCUCAAAACUACGUCCCCUUUGCACCCUUCGGUGUCAGGGGCGUGUUCCAAGCCUCAGCUGUUCUCUACUUUGCCUACGUGGGGUUUGAUGCUGUUGCAACCAUGGCUGAAGAGACCAAGAACCCUUCAAGGGACAUUCCAAUUGGGCUUGUGGGCUCAAUGUUGAUCGCCACAUUGGCGUAUUGCUUGCUUGCAGCCACACUCUGCCUCAUGCAACCGUAUACCAAUAUAGACGUGAACGCACCCUUUUCGGUGGCGUUUAGUGCUAUUGGGUGGGAUUGGGCUAAGUACAUUGUUUCGUUGGGGGCUUUGAAGGGAAUGACCACUGUGUUGUUGGUGACUGCUGUGGGUCAAGCUCGCUAUCUGACUCACAUUUCACGCACACACAUGAUGCCUCCUUGGUUUGCUUUUGUGGAUGAGCACACUGGGACACCUGUGAAUGCCACAAUUUUCCUGGUUCUGAUCUCAGCUCUGAUUGGUUUCUUCACUGACCUUGAGGUUCUCUCUAACCUCUUGUCGAUCUCCACUCUCUUCAUCUUCAUGUUGGUGGCAGUUGCUCUGCUUGUGCGUAGGUACUACUCGAGUGGAGUCACAACAAAGAGCAACCAAAUCAAGCUCAUUGUGUUCAUCGUGGUGAUCAUUGGCUCUUCAUGUGGGAUUUCAUCUUAUUGGGCACUAAGUGAUGGUUGGAUUGGUUAUGCUGUUUUUUGUCCAAUUUGGGUUUUAGCUACAGGAGGGCUUUGGCUUCUUGUUCCAAAGGCAAAGGAGCCAAAACUUUGGGGGGUGCCUUUGGUUCCAUGGCUACCUUCCAUAUCUAUUUUUAUUAACAUAUUCCUUCUUGGAUCUAUAGAUAAAGAUUCGUUUAUUAGGUUUGCUUUUUGGACAGUGCUUCUCCUGGUUUACUAUGUCCUCUUAGGGUUGCAUGCUUCUUAUGAUAAAGCUAAGGAGUUUGAAGCACAAAGUAGUGCCCAAAGGGGGGUGAACACUUUGGAAGAUGGGGUGGUGGUGUCUUCUACGUAGUAGACUCUCUCUAGUAUUUUUACUUUUGUGUCUUUGCUUUUGUUUUUGCACUUCAUUUUAUAUUAAUGCCCAAUUUAAUUCUGUUCUGUAAAUAAAAUAUGUUAAGUGCUUUAGAAUGUGAUUUUUAUCAUCAAUUAAAAAAGUACUCAUGAAAACUGGAGUGAAAAACUGGUAGUAAACUUGAUAAGUAUGUUUAAAUGAAUUGCAAAAUUUGUCAGAAAAAUAAUAGGUUAAAGAUUAGAAAAAUUCGGUAAAAUCGAUUAAAAUUGGGCCGGAAAAAUAUAUUAAAUUAUAAUUGUAUUUUUUUAAAAUAUAAAAAUUAACCUGAAUAUUUAUCAUUUUCCUUUUUGUUUUACAUGUAAAUUUAUUACUGAUAAUAAAUAUUGAUGCAUAUUAUUUAAAUUUUUAUUUAAGUAUGACAACAUAUUUUUAUUUACAACUUUUUAUGUCUAAAACUAUCCGUGAUUAUGUGAAACUUAAAACUAUGAAAAAAUAAAUAAUAUAUAUAUAUAAUAGAAUAGAAUUUGUGGAUUUGACAUGCAUUUAUUGGUAUAAAUUAAAAAACAACAUAUUAAUGAUGUUUAAUGACGUUUUAUCAAAAUAAUUUCAAAGAUCAUCUCAAUGUCUCAAGGGGAUAGAUAAAAUAAAAGUAUUUACGCAAUGACUGGAUAUGCCUUUGAAGAGUUUCAAUCUGGAUUUUGCAAUUAUAAGUAUUAUGGAUUCAUUUUUGUAUGUCACUAUAAUUAAGAAUAUAAUAUGCAUACAUUAUAUUACGAUGUUGAAUGGACGACAAACAUAUAAUAUCAAUUCAAAUAUGGGUUUGGCAGCAGGCAGAGGUAAAGAAAGGUGAGCAAAUCAAUUCAAAUUUUUAUUGAGUUUUUAUAUAAGAGUUUGAAUAUCAUAACUUAAAUGUUUCAUUUUAUUUAAUUUAUUUAUUAUAAAUAAAUAAAAUGUGAUAGUUAAGGAAAUAAUAUCUCAUCGGACGAUAUAUUUAAUGAUUUUCAUAUUAUUAACAUAUAAAAAAAACACAUUUUUCUAACAAACAAAUAAUUUGGUGAAAUUUUGGACAUCAAAAUAUUAGGGUUUUUUUACCAUGAUGGAGUUAUCUUUUUUUGUUUUUAUCAAAAUGGGGUCCGUUUAAAAAAAAUUAUAAAUUUAGGCAAGUCGUGCCUAAUUGGGACGACUUCAUAUGCAGAAGUCGUCCCAAUUAGGCACGACUUCUGCCAUAUCAUACUAAAGUCGUGCCAACAUGGUACGACUUCUGCCUUGUCAUACUGAAGUCGUGUCAACUUGGCACGACUUCUGCCCUGUCAUACUGAAAUUGUGCUAACUUGGCACGACUUCUACCACGUCAUAAUUUUAUUUUAUUUUUUUAAUUUUAUUGUUUAUAUAUUGGGUAGUAAGUUAUGUAAUGUUGAAAAUUAAUUUCUUCUCAUCAUUACGUGUUCUGUAAAAUCAUUACUUCUCAUGCUAUUUUUGCAAAUUCACAACAAUAAUUCUCUAUUUAUUUUCCAAAUAUAAUAAUUUUUCAUUUAUCUAUUUAUUUCCAAAUUCAAUAACAAUUUUAUUCAUUUUUUAAUUAAUCAAAUAAUCAAGUUAUUGUAUUACAUUACCGUCAAACAUGAUCCAUACAUGAUUAUCCAAUUUUUUGUUCCUUAAAACUAACACUCUUAGAAAAUUAUGUAUCAAAUUAAUUUUUAACAUUACAUAACUUACUAUCCAAUAUAUAAACAAUAAAAUUAAAAAAAAAUGACGUGACAGAAGUCGUGCCAAGUUGACACGACUUCAAUAUGAUAAGGCAGAAGUCGUGUCAAGUUGUCACGACUUCAGUAUGACAGGGUAGAAGUCGUGCCAAGUUGGCACGACUUCAGUAUGACAUGGCAGAAGUCGUGCCUAAUUGGAACGAUUUCUGCAUAUGAAGUCGUGCCGAAUUGGCACGAUUUGCCUAAAUUUGUAAUUUUUGUUAAACGGACCCCAUUUUGGUAAAAACCAAAAAAAAUAACCCCAUCAUAUGGUCAAAAAACCAAAUAUUAGCAAUCAUUUUGUAAUGUAAUACAUAAAUAUUUUAUUGUUAUAUAUAUUUCUUUAAAGAAAAGGUGGCUUUAGAAUAUCGAUCAAGAUAUUAUUCAUAAAUGCUUUCUAAGACAAAAAUUAUUUAUAAAUGGCCUAAAACAUAGAAAAUUUAAAUGAACUACUAUGUGUAUCAAAAUAGAAAUUAGUAGUUGUGAAGUUUUUGUUAGAUGGCUAUAUAGGUGCUUGUAUUUUACACUUCUUUUCUGAUUUGAGAUUCUUGUAUAAGGAUUGAAAUAUCCUUAAAAUGUUUUGUUUAAUUUUUUUUAUUUCUUUUGUUCGUAUAAAAAAAAUCNNNNNNNNNNNNNNNNNNNNNNNNNNNNNNNNNNNNNNNNNNNNNNNNNNNNNNNNNNNNNNNNNNNNNNNNNNNNNNNNNNNNNNNNNNNNNNNNNNNNUAUUGUUAUAUUAUUAAUAUUAUUAAUAUUGGUUAUAUUAUUAAUAUUAUUAAUAUUGUUAGUAUUAUUAAUAUUAUUAAUAUUGUUAGUAUUAUUAAUAUUAUUAAUAUUGUUAGUAUUAUUAAUAUUAUUAAUAUUGUUAGUAUUAUUAAUAAUAAUAAGUAUAAUAAAAAUCAUAAUAAAACUAAAGAAUUUGCUUAAUGUAGUGGUUAAAUUUUACUUGGUUGCUGAAAGAUUGCUGAAGGAAUCUGGCUUCGAAUCUCAUUCACUGCUAAUUUUAUUUUAUGGUGCUAAUAUUUACAUACGGAUUUUGAUCCGUAUGUAAUAAUCUGUAUGUAAUUCAGUGUCCCAUUAAUUUCAUUAAUUCAUUGCUGAUAAAAGAAAGACAAAUAAAGUUUGAUAAACUCUAGACAUAUAUAUGGAAGUUAAAAGUAUGAAUGGAUGAAUUAGCUUAAAGUUGUAGAUAAAUAAAAAUAAUAUAUAAGUUGUGAAGAUAUAUAAUACACGAAGUUUCUUACAACUAAUUUAAGAUUAGAGAAUCAUAAAAAUCAACAAACACACUCUGAAGCAUAUAACUUUAGAUGCAUUCAAAAACUUUUAUACAAAAGUAAGUCAACCUUGUUUUCACUUAUAGUUACAUUUAGUUUUUAUUUCUUAAAGAAAUUUUAAAAGAAUUCCAAGAAAGUAAGAAUUUAAAAAAAAAUAUUUAAAAAUUAACUCACCUCUCUUUAUCUAAUAAAUCAUUCUCUUUUCCUAACACUUUGGGUGCAAGAAAUUUACUUUUCUUUAUAAAAAAAUUAUGUUCUUAAAAUAUAUCUAGUAUAAAAAUUCUAAAAGGGAGCAUGAGAUUUUAUUUUAGUCUAACUAGAACUUACCUCAUUUUUUUAAGAUUCUCUUGUUUGCUCUAAUUUUGAAGUCUUAUUAUUAAACCCACAUUUUUAUAACUUUUUUAUUUGUGUUUUAACUUUUUAUAAAUUAAAAAAUGUAAGCUUAAUAUUAUUUUUUUAACCUAUUAUUUAUUUAUUUAUUUUAAUUUGACCCCUAAUUAAGUCUAUUAAAUAAAUAAAAAUACUAUAAUAUGUCAUUUUCAAGAUUCAAUCAAUUUCUUAAAAUUUUUAAAUUGUAACAAUGUGGUUUUUUUUUUUUCAAUUUGAAUCAUUGGUUUCAUAAGUUCUUACUAUUUAUUGGUUAUAAAUCUAUUAGACGUAAAUUAAAAUGUUAAAGAUUUGUUUGUUAAUUGGAUGGCAAUUUGUCACGUAUUCCAUUUUAACAAUUUGAGGGGAAUUGAUAGAAUAUUUUAUGAACUUAUCAAUUUAACUCAAUCCAUAGAGUUUGAUCUUGAAUUACAUGAACCAUGGUCAAAAAAUUCACAUAAGAAAAACUCUAUAAGGUGAAAAUGUAUCAAAAGCCUCAUGGCUCGGGCUCAAGCUCAACUCAUGGGUUAAUUUUUAAAGUACAAAAAUUAUUUAAAAAUAUAAAUUAACAAAAAAGUACUUAAAAAAGUAUUUAUAUAUGAAAAAUAUUUACUCAAUACAAAUACAAAUUCAGUAUGAGGAAAGAAAAGUUGGAUUUAGGUCAAGUUAAAUCAGACUACAUCAUCUCAAACUGGUUGAUAUGGGCCUAUGUCAAGUUGAGUUGGGCCACAUCAGGUCAAUUGAGUCAAACAAUAUCAGACGAGUCAAGUCGAUUCCACUUUGAGAUAGUAUCAUUCUCAUCCUAACGUCGUCCAUCAGGGGUAAUCACCGAAGGUCGAUUAUCCUCAGCCAUCUGAAUAAUAUAUGAGUGUGAUAUAGACCGGAACCUCUCCAAAUAUGCUGGAACACAGGCUCCAACAUCAACUGAUAAUACAAAAUCUUAUACGAGGUUAGCAUUAAAAUCUAACCAUCGUCAUUCGAUCUCAGAUGUGGAGGGAUCGCCAUGAUGAACGGUGGCUGGAUGACAAUACAUUGUAUAUAUCCAAAUUGUUUGAGUACACAUUCAGGAAAAUGCAUUUGCUUGCAAGCCCUCAACCGAAUCUACCUUGAAAAUAAUGCAAUCCACUCAAAAUGACGCAAUGCUUUGUGCUCUUCAUAGGGCAUCCAUUAAACAACACGUAUACAAAUGUUAUCUAAUUGCAUCCGAACAGAUGGAAGUGUGGACAUCCUACUCCUGACCACAUAUUUCAUACACCGCGACUCAUCCUCAACAUAGUCAUUCUGAAGUUGUCGGUGUCCAACAGUCGGAAAGUGCUCGUAUAUCCACAAUGCCAAUAAAGUGACAUACCCAACUAACUGUUUAGUAUUCACAUAGCAACCAUCUCCCACUGCUCAUACAUGUGGGUCAAAGGAGUUGUUGCCCACGAGUAUCCCUCAGUCAUCGCAGCUACAUCGGAGCUCGGGUACGUGUAAAAUUGUUCGAUAAUAAGGAGGUGCAACAAAUUCGACACAUCAUCCAAUGUGAUAGUCAACUCACGUAUGGGCAGAUGAAAGGAAUUUGUCUCUAUGUGCCACCUUUCUACAAAGGCACACAACAAUCCUUUGUCCAUCGGGUCAUAGCUUGUCCCAACAAAUCCAGCUAAAUCUGAAAACUUUACUGCAGUUAGUAUCCCAAGAUGAGAAGCACCCAUCUAAUUCAUUUUUCGGCCAUGAGACAUCAAUUUUAACUCCCCUCGAUCCUAAUUUAACCAACCAAAAUCAUAUAAAAUAUACAAUUUAAUCAACCAAAAAUCAUAUAAAAUUAACAAUGAACAAAUAUCAUAUUACAACAUAUUUACUUAUCACACCAUUCCAUAAAUGUAUGGCCACAUGGUCUUCAUAACCUAUCAAUAGUGUCCCAUCCAGUGGACUUCCGGGAUAACCUUCACCUUCUACUUGAGGUGCGCCUUCAUCCUCCACCUCCAUUUGGGGUUCGACUUCUUUAGGUUCAACAUGUUCUGCAUCUUCAUGUUCAACAUGUUCUUCAUCUUCAUUAACAUGUCUUCUUCUUCUAACAGAGACUGUGGGACGUAGACGAUCACCUUGUGAACCUCCUCCCCUAGUCUUCACCAUUUCUAUUCAAUUACACCAUUCAAGUUAAAUCAAAUUACAAACAAUGCACAGUACGAAUUCAGAAAUAUGAAAACCUACUACGGAUCCACCAAUCUGGAAUGUUAUUCAUCUAACAUUAUAGUUAUAAAUUUAACAACAAAUAAAGUGUGAAACUAAAUUUUACUAUUUUAUAAAGUACAUCAUUUAUUUAAAAAUAAAUAAAAACUUCAUUUCAACAAUCAAAAUUAAAGAAACUAAUCACUUAUUUAAAAAAAAUGUAUUAUCUUGAUUGAAAUUCUUGCAAGUUUGGUUAUAAAUAAUGAAUGAGUGCAUACUAAUCCAACCCUAAAACUCCUCUAGUUCGACCCAAUACAAAUUAUAGAAUAGAUUAUGAUUUACUAAUUUGAGCCAAUACAAAUACACAGUAACAACAACAACAAUUAAUAUUCCAGAAACAAAAAUCCAUAAUAUUACCUAAAACAACAAUCUGAAAUAUUACCAGAACCACCAAUCCAGGAUUUUAUCGAAAGCAUCAAUUCGAAAUUUCUGCGGAUUUCAUAAUCUAAAAUGUGAAAAAACAUAUACGGAUUCUCUAUUCCGUAAAACUAUCAGAUUUCAUUGUCUGGAAUGAUAUAAAUGAAGUGCGGAAAUGAAAAUUUGAAGAAAAACAAAAGUACAAAUCCAAAAACAAAAAAUUUUACUUACCUUUAAGCACCAAGUUGCUAAGACCACCCUAAACCACCAGAGAUGUGUGAGAUUGAAAGGCACCGAAAUGGAGUUCUGCAGUUUUGCAGUUGCAGCUGCACAAUGUGUGGGAAGAAGAAAAUAAUAGUGAGAGUUUUAGGGUUUUUAGGAAUAGAUUCCGUUAGGGACAUUUUAGGGUUUUUAAAAAUAAUAAGGAUAAUUUAGUCUUUUCAUAAUAUUAUGGGGUGCAGGAAGAAACUGUCAUCAAAUAAUUAUCCUUUUUGUCAUUAAGGGUCAAAUACAAAAGUCACUUUGGUCUAUUGAUUUUUUUAAAAAUCACAUUCGUCAUACUUUUUUAAAAAAAGUAUGUAAUUUGGUCAUUCUAUUAAAUCAACGUAAACAACAUUAAGUGAUGAUGUGACACAUAGAGGGAUUGCACGUGUAAUUCCAACAUCCUUCUCUUCCCUCCAUCCAUUCUCCCUCAUGAGCCUCAUCUUCACCCUCACCCAAUUGCAUCGCUACAACUGCCACCACAUUCUCCUUUAUGCGCCUUCACCCUCUCCCGUUUCUUCUGUUGCAUCAGUGCUUCCACAUGACCUCCUGCUACUCUCCUUUGCUUUGCUUUCAGAAACAAUCAAAAUACAUUGAAUAUCAUUCUAAACCAUAAAAAAAAAAAAAAACUAAACUUCAUUGAUUAAACCUUAUGCUUUAUCAACAAAAUCCAUAGGAUUUAUCAAAUUAAAAAAAAAUCUUAUAUCCAAUCAUAAUAAAGUUGAAGAACCCUAUUCCCCCUCAUUCUCCUCACGUUAUCAAAUAAAAGAGAAAAGAGUGAAAAAUACAAUAAAAUAAAGCCAUAAAAUAUCCAAUUUAAUAAAUAAUGAUCAAUAAUAAUAAUUUCACAAAAACUAAACAUCAAAAAACCCAAUAAAAAAACUAAAAUACAACCCUCUUUUUUAACAAAAUUUAAUUUUUCCCAUUGAAAAUAAAUAUCCUCCAAAAAUAUUAUGCAGAACACAUAAAUUUGAAGCCCUAAAAUACAAAAUUCUCAAAACGAAAAAAAAAAGGAUUUUCCACCUUUUUUUCUUUUAAAAAAAUAAAAAGUAUUAUAAAGAAUUGUUUGCAUAUCAAAGGAGAUGCAAGGAAGUAGACACAAUUAGUGUUCCUCUUCGAGGCCUCAUUUUGCGAAGAGAGUGAGUUAUUGAAGUUGAAUCUGAAGUUGUGGUUGUGGGGUAACCACAAUUUUCGUUGAAGUUGAAGACCCCAACCCAAACAAAUGAAAAAAGAAACGAAGAGUAAGGAAAGGCAGUUUCUUCCUGCACCCCUACAUUUUUCUUCCUGCACCCCCACAAUGUUAUUCAAAGACCAAAUUGUCCCUAUUAUUCUUUAAAAACCCUAAAAUGCACUUGAACUAUAUUUACAUUUUGCAUUAUGGAUUAUGGAAUCCAGAAAAUUUUCGGAUUUGCACUUCCAGUAAAAUAUCGAAUCCAUCAAUCCGUAAUUCAAAAUAUGCAUCAUUCAAAAAAAGCAUUCUGGAUCCACUAAUCCGUAACAGAAAUAUGCAUUCUGGAUUCAAAAAUCCGUAAUUUAAAAAAAAAGCAUUUUGAAUCCUUGAAUCCGUAAUAGAAUUAGACUUCCGGAUUCAGCAAUCUGGAAAUCAAUAAUUUAUGCAAAAAUUGCUUCAGGAACACUCCCUCAUCCGGAAAAAAAAAUAUUCAGUUCCAGAUUCAUGAAUCCGUAGCACACUCUCAGAUUCCUAUUUUCGGUAACCACGGUGUCCUUUUUCAAAUAAAAUAUUAAGGUCAAUUUCAGGAUUUAGAAAAUUGUGGGGGUGCAGGAAGAAAAAUGUAGGGGUGCAGGAAGAAGAAGCCGUAAGGAAAAGAUCAAAUCAUAGACAAAAGGCAGGAGAAGUUGAUGGAUGCAAAUCUCAAUAUGAGAAGAGAUAAUUAGUAGAGGGUAGUUUCUUCCUUCACCCCCACAAUUUUGUAAAUUCCAAAACUGACCCCACAAUUUUGGGAUUUGGGAGUGUAUUAUGGAUUCAUCAAUCCGGAAGUGAAUCAUGUUGCAUUCCAGAUGAGGGGGUGUUCCGGAAGCAAAAUUUGCAUAAAUAAUUGAUUUUUGGAUUGCUGAAUCUGGAAGCCUAAUUUCUAUUAUGGAUUGGUGGAUCCGGAAUGAUUUUUUUCAAUUAUGGAUUUCUAAAUCCGGAAUGCAUAUUUUGAAUUAUGGAUUGGUGGAUUUAGAAUGGUUUUUUCAAUUAUGGAUGUUUUGCAUUUUUUUAUUUUGGAUUAACACUAUCAUUCAUGUACUACCGGAAGCAUCAAUCCGAGAGAUUACCGGAUGCACCAAUCCAAAAAUUUACAGGAAGCGUCAAUCCAAAAAUUUACUGAAUUUCAUAAUCCGGAAUACAAAAAAAAAAUGUACAGUUUAUAUAGGGACAAUUUUGUCUUUGCGCAACUUUUUGGGGAUGCAGGAAGAAAAAUGUAGGGGUGCAGGAAGAAACUGCCUCUAUAGAGAGAGUUGUCAAAGAAAUUGAGAUCAGAGCUUAGAGAGAGCAAGAGUGGGUUCAAGUAAGUGAAUGUGAUGGGCUUAUACGAAGCAUAAAGAAGAGGGUAAGGGUGAGCCUAGUCUGGUUCCAACUUUUGUAUUCAGGCAAAUGCUUCCUACACCCAAUCAUUUUUAACCUCCACCCAACAUAUUUUUUAAAUUUCUAAAAAUGUCCUUUAUUUUGGAAAUUAAAAUCCUGAAUUGAAGAUAAUAUAUUGCGGAAAAAUAAAUCCAGAAGUAGUUAUUGAGUUUUGGAAAUAAAAAUCCGAAAACAAUAAUUAAAAUUCUAUUUCAGAUAAAAAAAUUUGAGAUUGAAAAUAAUACAUUUCCAAAAAAAAAAUUUAAAAGAGAAAUUAUUGUGUUCUGAAAAUAAAAAUUCGAAAAAAAAUAAAAAGUCCAUUCUAGAUAAAAAAAAAUCCGUUAUAUAAAAAUUCAUAAAAAAAAAAUCCGGAACAUUUCGAAAAAGGGAAUCAGAAUGUAUUUUUAUAUGCACCUAUUUUUUUUAGGACAUUUUUGUGUUUUUCACUGGAAUUGGUGCAGUGAUAUGGUUCAGGAAGCAAUUGCCUUGUUUUUAUUUUAGAAUUACUCAAUGUGUAUGUUAUAGAAUUUUUGGUUCAAUGAGUUGUCAAUCACAAAUAGGAAAAAAAUUAUAUAUUUAAAAAAAAUUAUGAUGAAAUAGAUUUUUUCUAAAACUAGUAGACCAAAUAACUUUUCACCCUUAAUGUAGUUAGCAAAAAAUAAUUAAAUCUUAAAUUACUGUUCUUAAGACUAAAAUUUCAACAAAAUUAUUUAGACUAAGAUCUUAUAUAAGAUUCACGUUUUUAUCCUAUGGCAUGCUUCAAUAAAAAAUUAUUUUAAGACCCAAGACUUUUAAAUUAAAAACAUUCUUAAAGAUGAAAUGAGUUAAAUAAAAUAUUCCCAAAAUUAAGUGAAGAAAAUAUAAAAACAAUAAAAUAAUAUUAUAUUAAAAAGAAAAUAAAAAUGGAAAAAUGUAAUUUACCUCUCCGUUUAUAGUAUUUUUUUAUCUGGUUGAAAAAAGGGACUACUGUAAUUUAUUUUUAAUUUAAAUUAAUAACACGGGUAAAACAAGUUAUCUAAUUAUAAACCAGUUUUUUUAAUCCUUAAACGCUGCCGUAUGGUGUUGGGCUUCAACACGGACAACCCCUAAAACCCUAAACUCAUAAACCUCCAUUCCCGCCACACACCACCGUGAACUCUCGCAGUUCAUGCAAGCAACGCACCCGUUCUACUCUCUCACCACUACCACCACUGAAACAAAGCGAUGAACUUCAGGUUCCAUAAUCUCUUGGGAGCACCCUACAGAGGGGGCAACGCGGUAAUUUCAAACAACACCCUGCUGCUCUCCCCCGUCGGUAACCGCGUCGCCGUCACCGACCUUCUCAAGUCCGAAACCUCCACCCUCCCAAUCCAGUCCUCCUCCAACGUCGCCCGCAUCGCCGUCUCCCCCGACGGCACCUUCCUCCUCGCCAUCGACGACCGCAACCGUUGCCUCUUCAUCAACCUACGCCGCCGUGCCCUCCUCCAUCGCAUCUCCUUCAAGGACCGCGUCGCUGCCGUCGAGUUCAGCCCCGACGGCGCUCUUAUCGCCGUUGCCACCGGCAAGCUUGUCCAGAUCUGGCGUUCCCCGGCCUUCCGCCGCGAGUACUUCCCCUUCGAACUCGUGCGCACCUUCGCUGAGUUCGACUCAAAAGUAACCACCCUCGAUUGGAGCCCCGACUCGAAGUACCUCAUCGUUGGGUCCAAGGAUUUAACCGCGAGAAUCUUGUGCUUGAAGAAAUUGAAUAGCGGGGGUAAGAAAAAGCCUUUUAUGCUCCUAGGACAUAGGGAUUCGGUUGUAGGUUCGUUCUUUGGUGUCAAUUCGAAAACUAAUAGGGUUUGUAAGGCUUAUACGGUUACUAGGGAUUGUUAUUUGUUUAGCUGGGGUUUUACUUCUGAUGGUGGUGGUGAGGCUGGGGUUUCGGACCCGCCCUCGCCAGGGACUCCGGAGAGGGACGUGGAAGGGAAUUUGGAGGUUAUUGAAAGUGAUGGUGUGAAGAAGAGGAAGAAAAUUGAUGUUCAGGAUGGUGAUGAGGGUUACCUGAGUUGGGGCAAGUGGGAGUUAUUGAGGAAGGAUGGGUUUAUGCAGGGAUGGGCGAAGGUGACGGCAUGUGAUUAUCAUAGGGGGCUAGACAUGGUGGUUGUUGGAUUUUCUAAUGGUGUGUUUGGGUUGUAUCAGAUGCCAGAUUUUGUGUGCAUUCAUUUGUUGUCUAUUUCGAGGGAGAAGAUUACCACUGCUGUGUUUAAUGAACUUGGGAAUUGGUUGACAUUUGGCUGUGCCAAAUUGGGGCAGCUGCUGGUGUGGGAGUGGCGGUCUGAGAGCUACAUUUUGAAGCAGCAGGGUCAUUACUUUGAUGUGAACUGUGUUGCGUAUUCGGCAGAUUCGCAGCUUCUUGCCACUGGAGCAGAUGAUAAUAAAGUGAAGGUGAUUGAAUUUGACUUUUGUUUGGGGUUUUGAAAUUUGAUCCAGAAAUUACUGAUUGCUUUGUGUUGUGCCUUUUUAAUAUGUUUUGCGCUGGUUUUUAAAUUGAAUGUUUGAAUUAAACUGAAGUGAAAGCUCUGUUGUUAUGUUUACAGGUGUGGACUCUUUCGUCGGGAUUUUGCUUUGUUACAUUUUCGGAGCACACUAAUGCUGUUACGGCUUUACAUUUUAUGGCAAGUAACAAUUGCCUUCUUAGUGCAUCUCUUGAUGGGACCAUUCGUGCAUGGGAUUUAUUACGCUACCGGAAUUUUAGGACAUUUACAACUCCUUCUUCAAGACAGUUUGUUUCCUUGACAGCUGAUCAAAGUGGUGAAGUGAUAUGUGCUGGCACUUCAGAUUCCUUUGAGGUAUAGUUUUCCACAAAUUAGGUUGAUUUUAACUGUAUCAUUAUUAUUUUACCAUUCACCCUUUUCUCAAUGAUAUGUGUAACAGAUUUUUGUUUGGUCAAUGAGAACUGGCCGCUUGUUGGAUGUGCUCAGUGGUCAUGAAGCUCCUGUUCAUGGGCUGGUCUUUUCUUCUACAAAUGUUAGUUUUUUCUUCUGCUGAUAUUUUCUUGCAUAAGUUAAUUUCGUAAGCAGUAUUUUUAGCUGGUUCCAAUUCUCCUCUUUUGUAGAACUUUAUGUGAAACCAUGUUUCAUGUUUUCAGUUUAUAAAAUAAUAUUAUCUUCUAAGUUUGUAGCGCAUCAUCAAAUAUCAAUAAUAUUAUUGUCUCGAGAUAUAUGAUGAAGGGAAGUACUAAAGUUUGUAUUUUGGUCAAUGUUUUUUACAUCUAUUAUAACAAAAAACCUUAGCAUCAUCUCUUUUCACUUUGUGCAGGCUGUCUUGGCUUCAUCAUCAUAUGAUAAAACUGUUCGGUUGUGGGAUGUCUUUGAUGGAAAAGGAGCAGUUGAAACAUUUCCUCACACACAUGAUAUUCUUACAGUUGUUUAUCGUCCAGAUGGAAGGCAGUUAGCAUGCAGCACAUUAGAUGGGCAAAUUCAUUUUUGGGACCCAAUAGAUGGUUUGUUGAUGUACACCAUAGAAGGUUCUAGAGAUAUUGCUGGUGGGCGUCUUAUGACUGACCGUAGGUCAGCUGCUAAGUCAACUUCUGGGAAGUUCUUUACAACCUUGUGUUAUUCAGCUGAUGGAAGCUACAUAUUAGCUGGGGGACGUAGCAGAUACAUCUGCAUGUAUGAUGUUGCAGAUCAGGUUGGUCUACAUGCACUUUGGUUGAUUUUCACAUAUGUAAAAGUCACCGCAUCGCAUUGAUUCUAGAAAUUUUAUCCUCUAGAAAAGCUUCUAUAUUGAUUCAAAGUGCAUGUUAAGUUUUAUUUUCACUUGUAACCUAGUUUUCAUAAGGGCAUUUCUAUUAUCGAACCACUUUGUUUACACUAGGGGUCAAUCCUAGGAUUACGUCUUUCCAGGAUCCAAUCAUCAAUAAAAUCUGUAAGUGCCAGUAUAAUUGGAAAUGUGCUUAUUCCAUAGAUCAAUCUUGUCCAGUAUUCUCUCCAUUUUCUCAUUUUUUUCAUAUCCUGAAUGAUGAGGAACUUCAUUUGGUCACUUAUAAAGUGUCCCUUUCAUGGGUACCUUACCUCAUAAUAAUCUUUUACCGAACUCCCCCAUUAUUAAUUUAUUUUAUACCUGGGUUGCUCAAAAGGAAAAUCAGUUACUCUUGAAGAGGCAGAAACCAUUUAAGGUUGAUAAAAGUUUUUUGUUUCUAUUCUCUGAAAUCUAUUUUCACUUCGAAGAUGUUAUGUUGCAUGUUAAUGCAUCUGAUGGUUAAAAAUUGUUACUCUUGAAAUCUUCUCUCAUAUAUGCCAUAGUGGUCUUAUUGUUUGCAUCCCUUGCCUAUGUGUGCAUUGUAGAUAUAAAUUACUGUGUUCUCAAAGUGGACGCGUACUUAAAAUGGACUAUUUCUAUCUACUUGUUUAAAUAUUGUAGUACAGUUCUGUUUGUUAAUUGGGAUCUCUUUGUUCAGGUUUUACUUCGACGUUUCCAGAUAACCCACAAUCUCUCGUUAGAUGGAGUGCUUGACAUUUUAAACUCAAAAAAUAUGACAGAUGCUGGCCCUCUAGAUUUGAUUGAUGAUGACAACAGUGACAUUGAAGAAGGCGUUGAGAAACAAACACGAGGGAAACUAGGAUUUAACUUACCAGGAUCUAUGCCUAACCGUGGAAGGCCUAUUGUUCAGACAAAGUGCCUGAGAAUUGCACCUACAGGGCGUAGUUUUGUUGCAGCAACAACUGAGGGAGUUUUGGUUUAUUCUGUUGAUGAAUCUUUCAUAUUUGAUCCCACUGACCUCGACAUAAAUGUUACACCAGAGGUAAUUUAACUUUUUUAAAGAACUAUCACUGUUUACUUCAAAGAAUAUAAGAUUAUUCCAGAAACUAUUUUCUGUAGUAAGAAAUGAGAUAGAGAACACCUACUCUGAUAACUUCUUGACAUCCAAUAAUUUGUGUUUUGAGUUCUUAAGAUGGUAGUUGACAUACUUGUAAGAAGAGGAUGCAAUUUUCUAAUUGAUAAUUUGGAUUUUUUUCACAUUGUUUUUUAUUCAUGACAGUCAACAUAAAACAAGCAGAGUAUAAUUUCGUUUUUCAGCAAUUCAUUAAAAAUUGUAAAAUUUCUGCAUCAGAUAUAAAUGAAGAUGACAGAGUCUUAAAUCCGUUUUUCCAUUUCAAUCAUGAAAAACAAGGAAUCAAAAUCAACAUUGUGCUGCUUGAAAAUGCAGCAUAUAUAAUUUUAAUAGCACUCCAUCUAGCUGUAUAUUACGUUCUCCCUUCACUGCACUGUUUCCUGUUUUGAUGUCGUUAAUAACUUGAGCUGGCAAUUCGGAACAGGCUGUUGAAGAAGCUCUUCGUGAAAAUCAACCAAGUAAAGCCUUGAUCCUUAGCCUUCGCUUGAAUGAGGAUUCUUUCAUUAAAAAAUGUAUAUUUGCGGUUAGUCCGGCAGAUAUUCCAGCUGUUGCGACAUCAAUCCCUUACAAAUAUAUCCAACGAUUAGUGGAGGCACUUGCAGAUCUUUUGGAAAACUGCCCACAUUUGGAAUUUAUACUUAGAUGGUGUCAGGUAUUCUUUACUUGCUUAGAUUUAGUCUUUUCAUAUGUUUGCUUCUCAAGGUCAUGAUAGUUCUAUAAAAUCAUCUUUAUCUUUGGUAUGAUUUGCCAGGAACUCUGCAAGGCCCAUGGGAAUUCUAUUCAGCAGAACUCUCGCAAUCUGUUACCAUCAUUAAAAUCUUUGCAGAAAGCAAUCACUAAAAUUCAUCAGGAUCUAGCAGAUACAUGUUCCUCCAACGAAUAUAUGCUAAGAUAUUUAUGUUCUUCUGGUACCAAGAAAUGAAUGUUUGGAUUUUGGCUGCUUUGCUCAAGAAUCCCUGUCCAGAUAAUCUGGUACCUGAUGAGCAUCAUUAGCAAGUAGCAACUAGCAACCUCUGAAGAAUCAAACAGGAUUUUGAUGUAAUUUCCUAAUGAAUUUGUCCUUGAAUGAAGCUUCAAUUUCUUGAAGGUGUGGCCUCCGUCAGGUGUGUCGGUCUACUUGCAAUUUAACCAAGACAUCUUCACAUACGCACUAGAGUGGCAUUUCUUUGUAAUGUGGUGGGUAACUGAUUGCAGAGGUUGAUUAAUGAAAAAUGUUAGAAAAUUUUGUCAGAAAUUUUGCCCCGAUGAUAGCAACCACCUUGGGUGGUAUCAAAUGUGGAUUUUUUUUAUUGGUGUCUUGUAACAUUGUUAUUGGUUGUUUAUAAGUGAAAUUAAUUGUUGGCAACGUUGUCAAUUUUUACGUACCUUUGAUACUUUUUUUUUGUUCCAGGAAUAUCUCUGAUGAAUGGUCAGUUUUAGAAUUUAAUAUUCAAUAUUAUAAUUUUUCAAAUCAGCCUUUUAAUUUUGAUUGGCAUAUGUCUAGAAUUAUAAUUCUGCAAGUCUACUUUUGUAUUGUUUCAGAAUUUAUUUAUUUUGUUCUGAAUCUGAAUUAUAAUUUGAGAAAUAUACAAAGGCAUCCAAAUAUUUAAUUUUGGAAUAUACAAUAAACAGGUUUCCAAAAGUUUAACUCCAGAAUUAUUGGGAAGUAUAUGUUGGAACAAAAUUCCAUAAAAUCUUUUAGGAGAGAAAAGUAAAUAAAAAGUUAGUCUAUUUGGAAAUUAGAAUUAGUUAAUGCAUAUUCUAAUUUUAUAAUUCUAAACUUUUAUGUAUUAAUUUCUGUAAAAAUAAGUUUUAUUUUUUGGAAAAAUCAUUUUUAAUUUUUAUGAAAAAGUUUAUUCAAACAAAUUUUAACUAGAUAAACUGUAAAACAAAAUGUAAUUGCAUAAAGAAAAAGUAUAGCACUUUUUGUUUUAAAAAUUGCGGAUCUAAUAAGAAUAUAUUACCUGUUAAAGCUUAUGGUUAGAUCUAAAAGUAUUAUACUAAAAUUCAACGAGCAGAAUACAAUAGAUUAGCUUUUAAUAAUUAAAUGAAGCUUUUAUUUAAAAACAUUUUUUAAGAUAAUAAAAAUCAAAAGAUGACAGAUUUUUAUAUUAACUCAUUGCAGCAAUGUUCAAUUUUUAACGACCACUUUUGACAUCCACCAUACAUUCUCUUUAUUUGCUUUCUUAAGAAAUAACUUAAAUAUUCUUGAAAUAUAAUAUCUUCCAGUUUUUACACUUCUAUGGAUAAGAUAACAAAGAAGUAAAGUGAAGAUAUAUUUUCACUAAGAGGAAUGUAUGAAAAUUCUAUCUAUCUAAAGUCAAACUCAGAAAGUUUUCUUAGAGUUUUACAAAUUCAAGUACAAAGAACAAAUGCUCAAUAGAAUCCUUAUGCAUUGGUUCAUGUGAGGUUUGAUACCGAUGAGUGAAUGAAUGGAGAAAAAAAAAACAAAAAUGCAUAAGGAUAAUUCCUAGAAAUACUACUAGACUAAAUGCAAUAUUCUUACAAAAAGCAAUAAUUCUUAGUAAAAAAUAAGUCUUUAUUUUCUUCCCUUUCUAUCUUUUGAGCAUAAUGUGUAGGAUUUAAUUUUAAUUUUCCUUGUAAUUUGGGGUUUAAUUGUAGUUCUAGUUAGGUUUAUAUUCGAUUUGACUAAAUAUUCAAUCAAACUCAAGGAAACAUAACAUGUUUAGUUUAGUCAAAGUGGAGAAAAAAAAGUUAGGAGAACACAAAAAUCAAAUAACUCAAGAAGUAUGAAAAGUCUGAUACAAAAUUGAUAACAAUUAUGAUUCUCAAGUAAAAGAGAGAUAUUUCUUAAUCUAAUUUUUGAAUUUGAAUUUUGAAAUAUAUAUUUUGUAUUUCAAUUACAUUUUCAACACAUGUUUAAAUAUAUUUAGUUAUUCCUUAUUUUUAAAUCACUUUUGAAUAAAUAGAAAAUUAAAGAGUGUUUUAGAAAUUGUCUCAUUGACUCCCUUUCUUUGACAAGUGUAAAAGAUUAGUAUAUUUUAACCAUAUUUUUUUGUUAUAUUUAAAUAUUUAUAUUUUUUUAUGAUGCCUUUUUAGUAAGUUUUAUCUUGAAUUUAUUUAUUUUUAUUAUGAUUGUAUGUUUUCUUUGUUAUUUGUUUAGUUUUUAUGAAAACAAAAGAAGAUUUUCACUCAAAAUGGAAAUUUGAAUAAAUAUUGUCCAUUCAAGUAGCUUGAGCGAUGAACUCUCACUUAAACGAGUCUUAAGACACUUAAAUGUGUGAUAUGUUAUUCUUUUUUUCUCUCUCUUUCCCUCUCCUUUGUCUCUUCAAUUUCUCUUUCAUAAUUCAUUUAUUUUCAACUGUAGUAGCUGAGGAGUCCAACUACAUUUCUACCCAAUCAAAUUUUCAAACAGAGUAAGUUCAUUUUUACUCUAAAGAUCUUUUAUUCUCUGUUUUUUCUUAUAAUUUAGUCAUCAAUCUUAAUGAAGUCAAUUGAGAAGAGUAAUCCUAUCGACUUAUUAUACUAUAUACUGAAUUUAUGUUAUGUUAGAAUAAUUUGCAUUAGGCCCUUAUAUCUUGAAGCUUAUUCACACUAAGGGGACAAAAAUCUAGAGGUUGCUUGGAAAACAAGUAAUUAAGAUAAGGGAAGUUAACUUUAACUUUCAAUAAUACUCUAAGUUAGAAGAUCUGAAUGUGGAGUGGACGUGGUCCCAAGUUUCAAUUUCUCUUGCAUGGAUGUUAUUUGAUAAAAUUGUUUGAUUUUAUGUUGUGUGAACAUGUAUAAAUAUUAGAUUUUGGUAGUUUGGAAGUUAAAUAUUGUUUUGAUGUUGAAAAGGUUCUUGAAUGUUAUGAAUUUUUAGAUGUUAUGUGAUUGAAUGAUAUGUAUUAUAUAUGAAUGAUGAAAAUUGUAUGAAAUUAAUGUCAUACAUUUGGGAUAAUGUAUGAGUUAUUGUUUGAUGGUACAUUAAGUAUGAAAAGUUUAUGCUUAACAGAGAGAUCCUCUAGCUUCACUGAUGAUCUAAGUCAUAUAAACUAAGAUACCAGGUGGUGAGAAGCUAAUGAGGGAGUUCAUACACACUGGGUAUCGUUGUAGACACUCGGUAUUGAAUGUUUGAACUUACCAUGAUCCUUGAUGUAUGGAUUAAAUGUUAGUCUCUGGUAUGUAGGGGCAUACUUAAUGAGUCUUCUGGAAGACAAUGGAUUCAUGUGUACUGUGAUUGAAAUGAAAUCAAAGUGCUAUGAAUUGAAAUGAAAUCCAAUGUUUGUGAUUGAAAAUAGAUGUGUGGUCUAUAUGAAUGAUGAAAUUGGUAUUAAAAUUUUAUAUGACAACAUUUAAAGAAAUAUUUAUAAAUGAUUAGUUUAAUUGGUUUUUUUGCAUGAAUUAAAUAUGUUAUGGAAUUUCUUUUUAUUUUACCCCUUACUUUUUUGGUUGUGUUGUGAACUGCAAUGACUGUAUUACGUACAUGAGCAAAUGAUCAUACAGGUGUCAGAGAGUUUAGAGGGCUCUAUGAUGUAGUUUUGAGCUAUGAAAUAAUAUUUGUAUUUCUAUAAGUAGUAAUCAUGCAUUAGGAAUAUUUUGAAAAACUCUAAACUUGUAUAGAAACAUGUAGAACUUGUAUUAUAAUAGUUAAAAAUAUUUUUGGGAUGUUAUAUGAUACGCAUUACAUGUACACUCAAACUUAUCAAUCAUUAAGGCUACACGUGCACUUUAUCCUUAUUGUCGUUGCUACUACUUGAUCUUGGAUACACUUUGUGAAUGGAUUGUGAAGAGAGAAAAAGUCAAAUAAAAACUCUAAUAAAUUUAUGGUUAAACCUCAUACCAAAAUAUACAUGGUAUUUGAGUAUCGAGACACACAUCAAAAUAUUUGUGUAUUAUAAAUUUUUAAUAUUUAAUUUUCUUUUCAUACUUGUAUUAGUGUGAAAUCAUGAGUGGAUAAACACCUUAUUGUUAAAGGUUUAUAUAGUUAUAUAACUCAUGCAAUUAAUUAUUUCCUUUUCAACAUUAUUUAGUUAUUCAAUUAAUUUUUUCUUUGGUUUAUUCUUAAUACUUGUUUGAUCCCGCUAACCAAAACAUUAUUUUAUCAUUGGUUUUCUUUUUAAUUAUGAUAAAAAGAAACAUGCUUAUAAGUUAUUAUAUAGGUAAAUUGUGGUACACCAUAUGACUAGGAAUAUGGACAAAAACCAUCAAGUCAAUUACAUAGAUUAAGGACUAAGGAAGAGGUUUGAGGUUAUAAAAUGAAUUUAUAUUUUUUUAUUGGACCUCUGUAACUAUUUCUAUUUUUUUAUAAUUGGAUAUUUUGUAUACAUUAAUUUUUUAUUAGCUAAUUAGAAAACUUAUUAUAUGAGCCUCGUUAGUAAAUGAGUCUAGUAGUCUCAAUCCCUAAUAUAAAUAAGUUUGUGUUGAUUUUUGUCAUGGUUGAGACUCAUUUAAUGAAAUUGAAGUUUUGUUUUGCCUGAUAAAUCUUUAUGCAUUAUUGAAUAGAACUUUUGAUUAAUUAAAGAUAGUGAUUUUUCUUCAACUUGUCAAUCAUUUUUGACUGUGGUGUCUUCUUCAUCUUCCGAUCUCCUUCUAUGUUUUUUUUCUUAAUGUUGGUAGAAUUUUUGGAACAAUUUUUUCUUCCUAAUACUUAGUUAGACUUCGUCAUUUUGCAUUAGAGUUUAGAUUCAACAUUUUUGUAAAUUUUUCAAAAAUAUUUCUUGAAACAUUUUUUAUUUAUUUUGGUGGUACAAUUAGCAAUAAAAAGUUCUAUUAAUCAUGAAUCCUUGUGCAAUGCAAUUAGCACGAACAUUAAUGGGUCUUUAGUUAGUUGGAAAGUUAUUCUUCAACCAACAAUGACCUUACCAAUCAUCAAAGUAGAAUAUAUGGCCUUGAGAUGUGACUAUGAGGGAUACGAUUGAAGGGUUUAAUGGACGGUAUAGAGGUAUGCUUAAGGAAAGACAAUCAUCUUUAGUGAUAGUUUAAAUGCAAUAUGUUAAUUAAGGAUAAUUGUAACACAUAUAAAUAUCAAAUAUGCUUUUUUUUUGCAUAGAGGAAAUGAUUAAAGUGAAGAAGAUCAACAUCAAGGAGCAUCUCAUAUGUGUCUUCACAAAGCUCAUCCCUGGGACAAGUUCAUACAUUGCUUGGAUUUACUAAGUAUGGAUUGUUAAUAGUAGUUAUAGAAGGAAAAUGUUAUUGUCCAAGGUGGAGUUUGUAGACCUUGGUAUACUAAAAAUCUUUCCACGAUGUGCUUCUAGCAACUGUAAACAUCGUUUACUAGUGAAAAUAACACAUUUGAUAAUUAUGCAGUCACAUUUGUUGUAGAUUGUCUAAUGAUUUUAUACUUGUUAGACUCGUUUGUUUGUGUAUGAUGAAUUGGUAAUCUUUGUACAUGUUAUACUAUGUUAGUUAGAGGCUAUUGUGUGUUUCUAACUAACAUAAACAUUUGUAAUCCUUUAAAUAAGGUAAGAUGUACUUAGUUGUAUGCAUGAGUUGUAUAUGUCGAAUUGCAACUAAAUACCUUACAUCAAAGCCAAUAUACAAAAUAUUUUGAUUUAUUUCUAUCAACUUUGUGGAUAAUGUGUUUAUUAUCUUUUGUGAGUGUUAUUUGCAAUUAAUAUUGCAUUGUUUCUUUUAUAUUUAUUUGAACUCUUAAGUGAAAAUUAGGGAAAAUUACAUACUCAAAUUUAACAUUAAUUUGUGUACAUAUUAAUAAAGUAAAAACAAAAUAUCCAAUUUUUUAUUAAUAAAUUAGCAAAAUCUAAAGCAUAAAGCCUUAGUAAUUUAAACAUGUAAAUGCAUUACCUUUUUUCAUCAUAAUUCAUUUAGUUAGGAGUCAACCAAAAUAUCACCUUAAUGGUAUAAUGUGUAAGAGAUGUCCCCAUGGUAAAUCAAAUUUGUUUUGGUAAGCAAUGAUACUACAUUAAUUUAAUGUGAAUUUUUAUGGGUAUACAUUUGAUAUUAAAGAUGUUAAACAAAAUUGUAGUUAUUAUGUCAUAUUCAAAUUAUUGGGUAUAAGUGAAGAAUCAUGACCUCUUCCAUGAAUGAAUUUGCUUAAAAAACUUGUACAAUGUUGUGAGCUUUACAGUUACUGUGUCAUAUUCAAUUAUUAGGCAUGAGUGAAGAAUCAUGACCAGUGUAUGAAUAAAUUUGCCCCAAGAAUUUGAACAAUAUUAUAAUGAUUAUACUAUAUUAUUUAAAAGUUAUAAGGAUUGAAUAAUUGAAUAUGAGAUUCAAACAUAGUUUUUAUUUAUUUAUUUACUUCUAAAGAUUCAUUAACCCUCUCUCAUUAUUUCUUUUAGAAGAUUAAUUAAUGUUAACAUACUAUGGUAGUUUUAAAAUACAUUCUAAAUGUAAACCGAAGACAGAUAAUUUUUUUUUGUCGUUAUUAUCACAUAUAACCAAAAUCAACAAGGUUUUGUAAUUUGGAACUUUAAUCGAUACAGGGAAUAGCAUUAACGAAUCGAUAAGGACAAAAAAAUAACUUUUUUGUUAAAGAAUGGCUCCUUCGUCGCACAACCCGCUCUUACUUUGGCGCGUGUUAUCGACAAUUUUUUUUGAAAAUUUUGUGAGAACCCUACCCUACCCCACAAAGGGUCCCUUCCCACUUUUCCUUCAUUUCUAUACUCUCGUUUAUUGGUUCCAGCUCCUCUGUCCCUCUCACACUCACUGCACCUUUGCUUUUUUGCUACCUUCUACCCACUCCUUCUUCUUUUCCUCUUCUUCAAUCUCAACUCGUAUGUUACUCUAACUUCUAUCGCACCUUCGCUUCCAGGUAGAUCUCUACAUUUUUUAGGUAGCUCGUGAAUCAACGGCUUUUUAAUCACGCACAUUCUGCUCUCUCUCUUCACGUUAUCUUUCUUUUCUUUUUCUCGCUCUCGCUUAGAUCCGAACCAUGGCGCUUCGCGUUCAGUUUGAAACGCUGCGUAUGAUAGUUUAGCUCUUUAACUUGUUUCUCACUUCCUAUUUUUGUUUUUCAGUUCGUUCAGUUUCUGGAACCUUCGCGCUCCAAUGGAAGUGUCGUCGGAGCAGUCUGGCCAGGAUGUGGCGCCGGAAAAGGCUUUCGGUUCUCCGAAGAGGAACGUUCCAGAAGCUUCCAGGAGAGCUCCGAAAAUCACCGCGGACUCUGGCGGUGCGGUGAAAAGGAGAGUUGAACCGCGGACCGGUUCGACUGCCGGUGCCGGCUCGGCUGCGUCGAGGAGAUCGGGUUCGGUUGGCGCUUCGGCGAGUUCGGUUUCCGCGCCGAGACGGAACAGUACUGGAGGAUUGUCUCAGAAGAUGUCGAUCUCUGCUGGCGGGAGAAAAAGCGGUGCUGAGUCUGUUGGUGGAGGUAAGAGCGGCGUUUCGUCGGCGAGUGAACCUAUCCGGAAGUCGCUGCCGGAGCUCCGGCGUAAUUCUGUGACUUCUUCACGUGCUGGCGCUGCGGGGAAUCCGGUUGCGGCCUCGCUGGUUGGCUCGGGGUCUAGGACUUCUGGUGUGAGUAAGGCGGAGGUUGCGAGGAAGCCGGUGAGUAAGCCGGCAUUGUCGGGUUCGGGUUCGGCUUCGUCUGCUACGAGGAGGAUUAGUUCUUUGUCGAUGGAUAGCACUGCCAGCAGUGGAGGUUCUGCUCGAAGGACGGUUUCCAGGGUUUCUUCGCCGACGGUUUCCAGCGGGUUGAAGACGGGCUCUCUGUCGACGUCGCAGGAUAGAGCUUCUGCACUGUCUGGAAGGAGGAAGGGAGGCACUCCUGAUAGCCGGGAUUCGCGGUUUAUUGUGCUUCCUCAGGUUGAGAUUAAGGCCAACGAUGAGUUGGUAAGUUUUGAGAUAAUGAUUGCAUUUUAAGUUUACUGUUAAGAAUCUCACUGGUGUGUUGCUGUUGGCUGUCAUGUGGAUGUAGAAUUAUUGUGGAAGGAAUAGGAAGAAGGAGUAAUAGCUGCAUAGGUGUGAACAGUGAAAAGGAAAUAAGUGAUGGAAAAAGAAGGAAUUAUGAUGCCAGUUGAAUGAUUUUUUGGCUGAGUAGGGAACGUUGGUUAUAAUAUAGUAGCGUGCAGAAUCAUUCUUGUUGUAAUCUAUUGACCCGUUUGUCUAUGUUUCAUUCACUUUUUAGUAACUGUUACUAGUUGGUGUUUGGUGGGUGCAGAUGCGGGUAUCUCUUGUUUGUCUGAAGUUAAACUUCUUCUAUUGUAUUUUGAGCAACUACGAUGGACUUUUCAGACCAUUCAUUAUGUAAUUCUAAUUUCUGACCCAUCUCGAUAUUUUAUCAGAGACUGGAUCUAAGGGGACACAGAGUUCGCAGUCUCACUGCCAGUGGAUUAAACUUAUCCUCAAACUUAGAGGUAAAUGUAUUUUCUGUUUAUCUCACUAUUUAUCUAAGAUAAUAUGUUCAAAGUUGUUUAUUGCCAUGUUUACAACAAUUUAAUUUAUGCUAUGGAAUGACCACAGUUUAUUUAGGUCCUAUUUAGCAAAAUGAGCAUCGGUACAUGAAUAUAUUUAUGUGGACAUGCUCUCUUUUAGUUGCUCUGGUUAUUUUUUUUAUUAUUUUCCUUUUGUCCUUAUAUUUUUGGAAUUCAGCUCACUCUGCAGUCUGUAUUGAAAAAACAGUGUAAGAGCAAAUUAUUCACUGGCAUGAAAGAGAAGUAUUGAGUAAAGUGCACCAUUAUGUAUUAACUGUUAAGCUUAAGCACCUCAUUGACAUGGCUAAUAUAAAAAAUAUAGGGGUUUACUCUUUGGUGUAUGUAUAUAUGCAAUGUUGUGUGCUAGUGUCAUAUACAGUGUAAUGUAAGUGAUUGAGGUUUGUAUUUUCUUGUAUAUUAAAUGAUAACAAGCCUUAGAGAAAGACACAUUGAUAGUCUUGGAGUUUUGGACUUAGGGUCUAAAUCACUUCACAAAACCAAAUUGUAAGGUGGGGUGAAUGCCCAAAACUUAUAAGCAUUGUUUAAGUCAUAUCUUUAGUUGAUGUGGUAUCCCAACCUGUUAAGAGUUGAUGUCUUGUACCUUUGUUGCUCUACCGUAUGAUGCUUCACUUAAUCUUUUUAGUCUGCUCCUUUGUGGUUGUCCUUUUUGAGACAUUGUGACCUAGUGGUGACCACAUCUAAGUUGGCUUUCCAACACCCCCUUCACGAGCAUGAGAUUGCAAAUAGAUUAGGGAUAAAUUUUGAUAUUAUAGAAUCUUUGAAUGAGGACCCAACUCAACUUCAUAAAACUGGCUUAUAAGAUGAGGAUUGUCUAGUUAAUAUGAUUUCUCAAUCCACUAAAAGUCAGCCUCUUUGUGGAUCCACAUUAUAAUAUUUCUGGUCAGCCCCUCUGUAGGCAGUAUUUUCCUAGACACCGUGGCUUAUGGGUGACUGCAACUAUUGUGACUUUCUUCGAUAUACAUAAUACAUGUUAUUUUUUAAUAUUAUAUCAUAUUUCAAGCCUAUCACUCUGAAUGUUUUAAAAAUGUUAGCAGUGUCCAUCAGUAUGAGGGAGUUGACUCCAGUGUUUGAACCAAAAUAUGUAAUUUUUAACAUUGACACUUACUUUUUUGCACAUAUUUUAUGGGUGUUAGUGUUGGUGUCUAAGAUGAGUUCAACACUCUGACUCCUUAAGCAAGAAGUGUCUGCAUCGUAGUGCACUGCUUGUAUUUUACUCAUAGUAGUCAUUAACUCAUUAUAACUUACCAUGUUUCAUUCAUUUACUCCUUUGUUAUGUUCUUAUUACUUCUAGAUUGAUGGUGAUUAUAUGAAUAAACUGUGUUGUUUUAUCUGAAUUGAUGGUGAUUAUAUGAAUAAACUGUGUUGUUUUAUCUGAGUUGAUGUUGGUUCAGCUGCAACUGUUCCUGUCUAUGGCUUUAGGUUUUUUGUUCUUCAAUUUGCCAUUGCUUGUUCCAAGUACUGCAUAGUGUGAAUAUGAGUGUAUAACUCCUAUGUGUCAAAUAAAACUCCUGCAGUUAUUAUAGCAGGGGUGCUAUCUGUUGGCUGUAACUGACUUAGUUAGUCAGUUAUAGUAGUUAGUUUGUAAUAAUUAAUGGUUAGUCUGUUACAACUGAUUCCUGUUGAGUCUCUGUAGUAUAUAGAUGUGUAAACAGACUAUAUGCAUUUUCUCUCUAACAGUAAAGGACAGAGUUUCUGUUUUGAGGAUUUUCAUAAUUAAUAGCAUUUAAUUUAUGAUUCCUUUUGGCAGUUUGUUUAUCUCCGAGACAAUCACUUGUCUACACUGGAAGGAGUAGAAAUAUUGACGAGAGUGAAGGUGUUAUAUAAUGAUAAUUUUCAUUUUGGAUGUUAUGUUUGAAUAAUAUAAAAAAUGAUUUCUAUAGACUGAUUGAAGGUAACUAUUUACUUUUUCAGGUUCUUGAUUUGAGUUUUAAUGAUUUUAAGGGGCCUGGAUUUGAGCCUCUUGAGAAUUGCAGAGUACUGCAGGUAUGUUGUCUUCAAUUGAAUUUGGUUUUUUAUGCGUGGAUGAUAUUGUCUCAUGACCGAGAUAAAAAGGUUAAAAGAUGCGAAUACUUGUUUAAUAACAGUAGUUUGAAAUCUUUAACUUGUAUGCAGCAACUCUAUCUUGCUGGAAAUCAAAUUACAUCAUUGGCAAGUCUCCCUCAACUUCCUAAUUUGGAGGCAAGUUAGAAUCCCUUUCUAUCAUUUUGAAUUUUAAUUCAGAUAUUCAACUUCAGUGUUCAUCAAAUUUUUUUGGUGUCUUCCGUGUUUCUCUUUUGCAGUUCCUUUCAGUAGCUCAGAAUAAGUUGAAGUCUCUCACUAUGGCUAGCCAACCUCGACUGCAGGUUGUUCAGCUUUAUAGAGAGUAUUGGCUAUAUGUAUUCUGUGUGUUUGUGUAUACAUGUGUAUAACUGAAUUGUUUAUGAAUGAAAUAAUUUGGUGCAGGUCUUAGCUGCCAGCAAAAACAAAAUUUGUACUCUUAAGGGUUUCCCAUAUUUACCUGUUCUUGAGGUUAGUAUGAUACUGUUUUUUAUUUGGUCUAACCACCUAAGUAAGAGAUCUGACUCAUAUCACUUUUUAUUUUAGUAGACUUUCUAUGUGACAUAGUUCAUCAUUUUGUGUUAUUGGGAGAUGUCUAGUUAUCUCUUCAAAGCAUAUAUUAUUACUUUAGUGAUUUUUGGACUCUAAUUUUUAAUUUUAUGGUUUUUGUUUUGGCAAAUUGCUAUGUAACAAGGAAAUUGUAUGAUUUGUCAUGCGUGGUUAAAUUCUAUCUUCAGUUUCAGAGAUUAUGUCUUGGGCUGAGGUUGUAAGGAUUUUCAUCAUUGAUUCCCUUUGUCUAGGAACCUAAUGUUAGGAGGAGUUCCACGUUACGUGAUGUGGUACUUAAGCUUGGAGGCUGUCCCACCCAAUGGACUAUUCUUUUGCAUUGGAUUCUCUAGUUGUGCUUGAGUACUAAUAAUUGGUACUUUUAUUGAGAGCUAGACUAAGAAAGGGCUACUUUUAGGUUGAAUUAAGCUGUAAACCUAACACUGAUAGGUGAGUGAAGCCAUUGAAGGGAAAAUGGGCUGCCAUCAGUUUUCCUAUGCAAUGGACUAGUAUUUUAGGUUGGGCUAUUCUUUUGUGCUUAAGUUCUAAGAAUUUUAUUGUUUCUUUUUUAUAAUUGGGCUAUGGAAAAAGCUACUUAUAGGUUAGUUUAAGGUGCAAACCGAAUAUUGAUAAAUGAGUGAAACUGUCUCAAAGAGAAAAGGGUUACUACCUGGUUAGUGUUGAUGGAAAGAAGUAAUGGACAUCGGGUUGUGAAUCUAAUUGUAAUACAUUGAUAAUGUAAAUUUUUUAAUGCUUUCAUCUAAUAAUGAAUUUCCAUAUAUUUGAAAAUUGUAGACUUUUAAUAAUUAAUUUAGUAGUCAUAUUUAGGGUAUUUUCUAAUUGGCUUACAAUGUAAAUUACACGAAUAAUGCAUCAAAAUUAUAUUUGUUUUAUUUUGAAGUCUACACUUGCUAAAGUUUUUCUAGUUGAUUGCACCUUUGCCGUUAGGCAUCCUUUAAUUUAGUCAUAUGAUGUGGGUGAUGUUUUUCUUAGAGGUUAAAACUCAAUCAUAUGGUAUGGGUGCAUUUAGAAACAUUUGGUAUUUAUGCUGAUUAGAAAAUUUACAAUAUAGGUAUUGGAUUAAAAAUUGGACAAAUAUAUAGUAAUUAAACCUAAAGUUUUGAAUUUUAAAUAACUUUUAGGGACUUACAUAGUGUUAUAUUUGCAUGUGUGGCUUCAUACAUAAAUGUAGACUGGUUGAUUUUACUUUCAGUAAUUUUUUUUCUGUACUGUAGCAUUUGCGAGUGGAGGAAAAUCCUAUACUUAAGAUGCUUCAUUUGGAAGCAGCCUCAAUAUUACUAGUUGGACCUACUUUGAAAAAGUACAAUGACAGAGGUAUGCAUAGUAAAGUUAUUCUUAGCCUUUGGUAUCUUUACUUUUUGGUUGUACUGAUAGACACCUAAUUCUUACUAUAGGUUGAAGAGUACCUGCCAUAUAUGUUUUCUUCAAGUGAUUUCUACUGGAAUCAUUGAACUCCUAUAUCAUGUAUUAAGAUAGUUUAUUUAUUGAAUAUGAAAAGUUUUGCAGAUCUCUCUCGUGAGGAAGUGGCUCUAGCAAAGCGCUAUCCUGCACAUACAGCUUUAUGCAUUAGAGAUGGUUGGGAUUUCAGUCGCCCUGAGCAAGCUGCAGACUCAACUUUCCACUUUUUAGUUGAUAAAUGGAAAGACCAUAUUCCUCCGGGUUUUCUUCUCAAAGAAGCCUCCAUAGAUAAACCCGUGGAAGAAGAUGUGUGUCGUUGUCACUUCACCAUUAUUCAUGAUGGUGCAACUAGUACAGGCCCUCCAUUAGAUUUAAAAUAUCAAUGGUUUUAUGGUGAUCUAUCGCUUUCAAAUUUUUUCCCUAUUCCAGAUGCUACCGGUGAGGUAAUGAGUUGAUUGCAUUAUUAUCACUACUUCAGACUUUUGUUUGUCUGUAUAUUUGCUUGUUAUUUGUGUUUAUUACAUUUGUAUGAUUUUUAGGUUUACUGGCCAAAGCAUGAUGACAUUGGAAAAGUUCUGAAGGUGGAAUGCACCCUCACUUUAGAAGAAAUAACAUAUCCUCCUAUAUUUGCCAUCUCACCUCGUAUUUCGAGAGGUAGGCCUGUGUUGUAUCUGUUUAUAUUGUAUAAUUUAGAUGAACCGCUAAAUUUCUAGAUCCUAAGCCUGGUAGGAAUAAAGUGACCCAGAUACUUUAUUAGCAUAAAGCUGCGGAAGUAUGUGUUAUGUUUACUAUAAAAGUAUUUUGGAUUCCUUUUUUGUUUGUCUUCUUCAUGUUGCUGUUUUUUUUUUUGUUUGAAACUAAAACAUGUGUAUGCAUUUUUCAAAUAUGCUUUCAAACUGAUCCAUUCUUACAAUUUUCUCUUUCGAGAUAAACCCAACAUGCCCUUGAAUGAUCAUCAAUGAAGGUUAUGAACCAUUGUGUUCCAGAAAUAUCGUGAAUCCUUGAGGCCCCCCAAAUAUCAUCGUGAAUUAGUGAGAACGGUCAUGAUGAUUUGUAUGCUUGACUUGGAUAAGGAAGUGAGUUUGUUUAGCCAAAAUACAGGUUUCUUGCUGAAAAGAAUCUAUGGCUUUAUUCUUAAACAAAGAAGGGUACAUGUGUUUCAGACAUGGAAAACAAGGAUGACCAAGUGUAUUAGGUUUUAACAUGAUUUUAGAUACAGAUGCAGGAAAGGAUUGAUGGAUUAGACCUAGAGCCAAGCUCUCUCUUCUCGGGCAAGGUAGUAUAGGCCAUCACUCAUCUUAGCUUGCCAAUUGUCCUUCCCGAGUGUAAAUCCUGAAACUCUAAAUAAAGAUAGACCAUGAUUACACGAUUAAUGUCUCUGGUCAAUUUAUGAAUAGACACCAAGUUACAUGUUAAAUUUGGUACCUGAGGAACAGAAUUUAAUGUCAAAUUAGGCAAUGUAGUGGACCCUCGUCCAGCAAAAGUCAAGAGGGUUCUAUCAGCAAAUCUGAUUUUAAACUUCCUGAACAUGAGGUGUAAGUUGAGAAGGUUUCUGGGCAUCUGCUCAUAUGAUUAGAAGCACUGGAAUCCAUAAUCCAGUCUUGUAACUCCUGAGUUUGUACACAGGCAGUAUAGAACUUACCUUUUUGGUCUGGACAUUAGGAAGUGAAAUCAGACAGAGAGUCAGGGAUAAGAACCCUAGAUAUGGAAACUUAUACAGAGUUGGAGAACCCUUGCAUGGUUUGUCAGGCACAACUAAGAAAGGAUAUCAGAGAGACAGAUGCUCUCAUGUCAUUAAGGAAACAGAAUACCUAAAAUAAAGCAUCUAAAAAGGGGCAUCGUAAUUACCUUAAUUACAAAAGAUAUAAAAGCUCAAAAUUAGUAAAUACAAUCAGAGGGGAAAAGGAAAUAUGAUUCCUGGAAUCUCCUAUUAAUUAAGAUAGAAGCUGUCAGUUGCAGUUUCUGAUACUGUCAUUAAAAUUCAGCCAACAAGGCGCUUUAUUUUAAGAAUCUUUUUGUGUGUUAUAUCAAAUGGUUCAUUGAUAGUGUGAAACUCUGCAUUGUUAAUAUAUCAAAAUUUAAUAGAAAAAUAUGCAACAACAAAAGCUUUUUCUACUAUUUGAGGACAGUUAGAUGGAUAACACAUCAUUUGGCUCAGCUAAAGAUACGAUUUUUAGAGAUAUUAUUUACUUAAAAAUCCUUAAUAUUUUCUCCAUUGCUCGUGGUUUCCCUCUAUCCCUUUUCCUAGGACUGAAACCAUGCAACAAAAUUUUCUCCCUGGGGCUUUUAAUGGCCUCUUUUGUACAUGUCCGAAUCACCUCAACCAGUUUUCUGUCUUCUUUUCGACAAUUGGUGUUAUAGUGAGAUCUUGUUUACAAUUAUUUCUUCUCUUAUCCUUUCCUGUGUCUACACAUCCAUUUUAUCACUCAUUUUUGGUACUACUACCUUUAAUCAGAGUAUAAUCAGACAUAAAUCAAACGUGCCUUUCAGCUUGGUAGGGAUUUUGUGAUCACAUGAAUCCUGAUUCUUUUCUCCAUUUUAGCCCUCAUGCUUGUAUCAUGUGUGUGAUAUCCUAGUCAAUUUCUUGUGUCUACACAUCCAUUGUAUCACUCAUUUUUGGUACUACUACCUUUUAUCGUAGAGUAUAAUCAGGCAUAAAUCAAACAUGCCUUUCAGCUUGGUAGGGAUUUUGUGAUCACAUGAAUCCUGAUACUUUUCUCCAUUUUAGUCCUCAUGCUUGUAUCAUGUGUGUGAUAUCCUUAUCAUUUCCUUAUCAUGUGUGUGAUACUUCUCUCCAUUUUAGUCAAUUUCCUUAUCAUUAAAUGUGGAGAAAAUGUAAGCUGUCUAAUUUUUAAUGCUGUACUCUUACAAUAUUCAAUGUUCAUUGAGAUAUUGUUGACUGACGUGUCUCUUACUGGCCAAAGAACAGGGAACUGUCUGAGUCUAGGGUUGGGUUCCAUAUCAAUGUUCUGUUCUUUUAAUAGUUCCUUAAUAUGUUCAUUCUUCAUUCAUCUUGAAUAAUUCUACUUUCUCCAGGGAAUGGAAUUCCAAAGGUUGUAAAUCUUGAAGUAUAUGGGGAACUGGUUGAAGGAAGUAUUAUCAGGGGUUGUGCUAAGGUUGCUUGGUGUGGUGGAACUCCAGGAAAAGGUGUUGCUAGGUAGGAUGACAUUUCUUGUGUUUGUACACGUGUCUGUUUGUGUCAUGUCUAUAGCAUAAGACUGUAGAAUUUUCUUUUAAUGCUGUGAUACAGUUAUCCCAUUUAUUGUGUUUUGUUUUUUGCUCUAGUUGGUUACGGAGAAAGUGGAACAGCAGUCCUGUGGUCAUUGUUGGGGCAGAAGAUGAAGAGUAUAAGUUAACCAUUGAUGAUGUUGAUUCAAGUUUAGUUUUCAUGUACACACCAGUAACAGAAGAAGGUGCAAAAGGAGAGCCUCAGUACAAAUAUACAGAUUUUGUAAAAGCUGGUGAGCAUUUAAAUUUUUUCAUUUUUAUGUAAACAUGCUUGAUAGCUAUUUCCAAAAUACUAAUCAAGAUUCAUCAACAUAUUUAGCUCUUCUUUGAAUAUAUGGUUGAUGAUAAUUAUGAUUUCUUAUUGUUAGUGAGUAAUUUGGCUUCAAGUUUGCCAUUGAUGUGCUAAUUUAUUUCCUUGAUUUGUUUGGAUAUUAUUACAUUGACUUUCUUUUGCAUAUUUUAUAAGAUUUGCUCACCUGAGAUUGCUGGGGUAUGUAGCACUUAAAAUUUGGGUUUUUUGUACAGAACUCCUUUCACUAGUUUAUUAUUUAUUUUCUGAGCACUGAUGUAUGGAUUGGGGUAUGUAGCACUUAAAAUUUGGGUUAUUUUUACAGAACUCCUUUUCACUAGUUUAUUAAUUAUUUUCGGAACACUCCUUUUAUGUGCUGGUGAAAUCUAGUAAAUUUUUAGGUGAACAAGGAUAGGCAUAUAUUUGAUGGAUUAAUAGUGCAUCAUGAAAUAAGUGACUGAAUUUGAAGAUUGAUUUGUCAACACAAGAUUAUCAUUAUUGAAUAAGUGAUAUUGUGGGGAAGUAUAAAGUUGGCAAUGAUUUAAAAUUGAAUGGAGAUCAUGGAGUCCCUAAGUAUUCUUGACUCACUCGAUUCUCAUGCUGUUGUCAAAAUUGCGGGUAAACUUUCCAACUUGCAUGAUCCUCCAAGUAUGGGAGACCCAAGUGAGUAAAUGUGCAAGGUGGAGGAUAGAGAAGUCACUGGUCAUUUUGGGAUUGUGAUUUUGCUUGUGAAAUCACUGGAUCAUGCAUUGCAUUGAUCCUGAAAGUCUUUGUGCAAGCUUGGGCUUUUUAUCCUCCUUCCAAUCCUCUAGUUUUGUGGGUAGCAUGCUACUGUCUAAUUGUUCUCUGAUCAUACUUUUAUCAUAUGGCAGCUCCUCCUCGUGUCAGUAAUGUGAAAAUAGUUGGAGAAGCUGUUGAGGGAUGUACCAUCAAAGGAGUUGGUGAUUACUUUGGUGGAAGGGAGGGUCCGAGUAAGUUUGAAUGGUUGCGGGAGAACAUGGAAUCUGGGUCAGUAUUCUUCUCAUUAAGUUAAAAAUAAAUUCUCUUAUUCUAGACUUUUGAUAUGUGUUUUUUCUAAUUAGAAAGUAUAUUUUUGUAUUUAUUACAUUGACUUGAGGCUGCUUCCUGCUUUUAUUUUGUUUAAAGUUUAUUUUCUUUACUCCCUUAUCUCACUUUACUGUGUUGUUUUCUCUUGUUUCAAUGUGGAAAAUCUGUGCAGAGGCUUCUUGUUAGUGUCAGCUGGCACAUCUGAGUAUACCUUGACCAAAGAAGAUGUUGGUUGUUGUCUGGCUUUUGUUUACAUACCCAUUAAUUUUGAAGGUUAGUAUCCAGACAUGAUGAAUAUAUCUUUUCCUAAUACUUUAGAUGUGUGUUUGUAAAAUAUUCAUUGAUAUAUCUUUCAGGCCAUGAAGGAAAAUCUAUAUCUGUAAUGUCUCCUCUGGUGAAACAAGGUAACUUGAUAACUAUUACCAAUGUCUCCUGUAUUUUUGUUCUGUUUUCUCUCUGUGCUGUUGCACGAUGUUUUACUAGUAUACCAUUUUGUUGUAUAUGGAACUGGAAGGUGAUAUUUUGUUAUUAUUGUAAUAACUUAAUGCUAUUGAUUUGUGAUUGUUGGCUCUGGUAAACAUAAUGCUACUUUUGAUUUAUGAUGGGUUUGCGUUAUUCAUCUUGCUUUGACUUCAGCAUAUUGAUAUGCUUAAUCCUUCUAUUGCAAGGGAUCUGGUAGUAUUUUUCUUUUCUCUGUACACUUAGUGCUUUAUAUUGAAUUUCAUCAGUUUCAUAUCUUCCUCUAUGAAUACAUUCUCUGUGCAUCCUAGAAAAGAAGUCUUCCACCUUUCAUAUAAUGCGAUACAGCUGUAUUCAUUCUUCUAAGAAUCUAAAUGUAUUUUCUGGAUACUCUGUUGCUUACGUGUUUGUUCUUUUCCAUUCUUUUGAUAAUACGAAUAUGUUUUAUGGUGAUAAUUUAAAAAAAUUCUAGAGCUCCUGGUUUAUACUGACAGUUUGAAUGAAUAUGAUGUACUGUUUCAUUUUCAGCACCUCCAAAGGUAACAAAUGUCAAAAUAAUUGGCGAUCUACGAGAGAAUAGUAAGGUCACUGCUACUGGUAUUAUAACUGGAGGAACUGAAGGAUCUAGCAGAGUUCAGUGGUAUAAAACAUAUUUUUCAACUUUGGAUGAAAACAGUCUUGAAGCAUUAAGUACUUCCAAAAUUGCCAAAGUAGGUUUGUGUUCUGUUCUCUGUUUUGGGAGAUGAAAACCUAUACUUACACAAUGAUUUUUAAAGUACAGUUCACUAUUCCCCUCCUAUACAUCAAGUUUCAAUUUGUUGUGGGUUUUGAGCUAUUCAGGCAUUCCGCAUACCUCUUGGAGCUGUUGGCUAUUACAUUGUGGCAAAAUUUAUUCCCAUGAAUCCUGAUGGUGAUUCUGGGGUACCAGUGUUUGUAAUAUCUGAUAAAGCAGUUGAGAGUAGGUGUACUUGUUUCUUCUCACUCCCAUUUGUUUUUGAUCCCUCAAUAAUACAAACUGAAUAUAAAUCAAAGAAUAAAUCAAAGAAUCUAUAUAAACUGAAUAAAUCCAAUAAUCUUAACAUCCUAAUGCAUUUCUUACAGCUCUUCCCCCAAGCUUGAAUUUCUUAUCUAUCAUUGGGGAUUACAAUGAAGAUGGAAUUUUGACAGCUUCAUAUGGAUAUGUUGGAGGUCACGAAGGAAAGAGUAUAUACAGUUGGUAUAUUCAUGAGGUAUAUCUACAUUAAUGUUCCACAGUAUUUGUCUAACUUAUUUAAUUCAUGCUAUGGGAUUUUAAUUCUUAUCUGACAACACUGUAAAGCCCAUCUACAGUACUUUACUUUACAUAAUAUAUGCCAAGACUCGAACAGUAAUUGUCUAGGGACUGUCCUCGAUUUGAUUUUUGACUAAAUAUGAUUAUCAACUUAGUAUUCUAUUUGUAUCCGCUACACCAGCCUUACAUUUUUAGGGGUUGUUUUUUUCGGUUAGUUUUUACUAAUGCUUAUAGUAAAAAAGGUGUUGGCAGUCACCAAUAGUUAUGGAAUUACUUUUCUUGAUCUCAAAAAAAACAAUACAUUGGUAUUUAAAGGAAAAACAAAAUCCUAAUAAAAGGAAAUAAAUCUCUAGACACAAGGACUCUAAAUCUGGAGCAAAUAUACCAAAUAAACUCCUAAUCCCAGUCUCUUAAUUUUAGGGAUUUCUUACAAACAAAUAUAUAUUUAUUAUUCAAUUAAUCUAUAUUUAUUGUACAGUAAAUAUGCAAUAUUUACACCAUAUUUCAACACCCUCUAAAGCUGAGGCAUAAAUCUUAUAUUUUACUGUGAAUAUCCCAUUUGCAAUCAACAAUAUUCUUUUCUUUGGGUUUGCCAACAAUUUCCCAAGUAUUGUUCUUUUCCAAUGCAUCCAUUUCCAUUUUCAUGGCAUCUCUCCAUUCUUUCUUUGUCAAAUCUUCAGUAACAAUGUUGGGGACACCAACGAAAUUCAAAUUAACAAUGAACCUUUUAUGGUUUGCCAAUAAUCUAUCCAGAGAAACAUAAUUUGAUACAGGAUAGAGAGGUUGUUUUGUGCAGUUUCUAGUACCUUUUCUGGUGACUAUUGCCAGAUCAAGCAAUAAUUAUGGAUUUACUUUUCUUGAUCUAAAAAAAACAAUACAUUGGUAUUUAUAGGAAAAACAAAAUCCUAAUAAAAGGAAAUAAAUCUCCAGACACAGAUUCUAAAUCUGGAGCAAAUCUACCAGAUAGUUUUUUAAUCCCAAUCCCUUAAUUUUAGGUAUUUCUUACAAACAAAUAUUUGUUCAUUAUCCAAUCAAUCUAUUUAUUGUACAGUAAAUGUGCAAUAUUUACGCAAUAUUUCAACACUUAUUAUUAAUCUUUUCCUUCAUUUAAUUCAUUGAAUAAACAAGUAAAUAUUGGUUUAGUUAAAAGGUUAAAUUUCAGUUUUUGCCAUAUCUAUAGAGAAGGAAAUAGGCGUGCUGAUCUAUUGCUUAAAUUCUGAGUAACUUAAGGAUUAAACCUAACUAAAGUGGUUUAGAGUACUUGAAGUCAUGAAAAAAUCAGUGAGUAUUUUAUUCUCAGCUGAUGCAUAUAUAUGUAAAAAAGAGUAAGUAGUACUACAUCUCAGAGAGCCUAUGUUUCCCAACCUAAAGCUAGGUACUCCCAGAAAACAGCUUAAUGUAAGCUGUACAACACUAUAAUAGUCAUAAUUUUAACAACAGUAAAUGAAUGAGUUUGUAAACAAUUAUUGAUAUGCAGUCAAUAGUGUCACGAGGUAUUAAAAUGUCUUAUAGUGAUUAAGUUUGCCUCAGAUGUUUGAUAAUGUCACGGAGUUAUUGAUCACCUCACAUGAUUAACGACAUAUUUAAAUGUGGUUAAUUGGAAGAAUAAAUAUGAUUUGCUUUGGCACAAAAGUGGUUAUAAGAAUAAAUGAACAUGAUUGUACACCAUUAUCAAUAUAUGGUUAAUAGUGUCAUGGAGUAAUUGAAAUGUCCAAUGGUGAUUGACUUUGCUUCACCUGUGGGCCUGUGGCUAGUAUAAUGAUAUUAUUGAUCAUCACAUGUGGUUAACUACAUGUGUAAAUGUGGUUAGUUUUGACUCAAUUUAAGAGUAAAUGAACGUGUUUGUAUACAGUUAUUGAUUUGUAGUUACUAAUGUGAUGAGGUUAUUGAAAUGUUUAGUGGUGGUUAACUUUUCCACACAAGUGGUUAAUAGUGUUGUGAAGUUAUUUAAAUGACAAAUAGUGGUUAAUUGUGCCUUAGAUGUGGUUAAUAUUAUUCACAUUGUUAGUUAAGGCAUUCAUGUUCCUUUAUUCUUUACUACUGUAUGUAGUUAAUCAUGUAUAUGGGUUGACAUUCAACACUCACUUUAUGGUUGAGUGAAAGCUCGUUUAUAUGCUGUCUUGAUAAACUAUUUGUCUCAUGUUUUAAUUGUUUUUACUCUAGUUUUUAUUGCAUUUAGUGUAUGAAAAUAAAAUGGAUUGACUGUUAAAAAGUUUACUCUAAGGGGUUGAAAAAUAGAUGGAGAUUUUACCUACUGAAAUAAAUAGAAAAAUAUUCCUUUUAGUCGCAAAAUGCCCUUUAGAUGGAAAGUUUAUGUUCUAAAUGUCCCUGGUAUGUACAGGUUGAAGGUGAUUCAGGUUCUCGGAUACCAGGGGUUUCGGGACUGCAGUACCGUAUCACCAAAGAAGCCAUUGGAAAAUUCAUCUCAUUCCAGUGUACUCCAGUACGGGAUGAUGGUGUUGUUGGUGACGUAAGAAUUUGCAUGGGCCAGGAGCGCGUUCGCCCUGGUAACAUUUAUUGGAUUAAGCAUGAAAAUAUGAAUAUGAAUUUGGUUUAUUUCUUCAUGUAAUAUAGAAAGAAAUUCACAUUAAUGACAUUUGUACUGAAGAUUUUUAAUAUCCGGCAUACCUAUGCAGAGAGAAGAUACAAAAACUGAAAGAUUAGGGAACUGGGAUCAUGUCUAAAUUAGGGAAUGUUUCUAAUAUAACUAUUGCAGUAUGUAGUAUAAAUAUAUUUUUCUUUUGACUUAUUACUUACAUGGUUUUCUCCUUAUAAUUCUAAAUUAUCAUCUUAAAAAUGUAAAGAAGAAUAAGAUAUUUUCGUCUUUUCAAUCUCACUAAGUUACCUCAUCACACUGUAUGAUUGAUAAUUAUUAAUAGAUAAGAUUUGCUUCACUUUUUCGGUCACAUUAUUUAUUGAUGCCUUUUUCUUUAUUAAGGUCAUUCAAUUUGUGUUCCUCUUUGCAUCUCUUAAUGAUUAUUGUAGAGAUAGAUGCGGUCUUCCAUAUUUUAGGUUUCUCUAGUGGGUUUGAGUUGGUUCCCCCACUUUUCUAUUGAUAAUAUCACAAAUGCUGCAUAUGAUUGAUACAGGUUAUCCUAGUUAAGUCUAUAACCUGCACAGUGAUGCAAUAAUAUUGGUGUCUUGAUUUAGGAAAAAUAGGUAAUUCAAUUUGCUUUAUAUUUGUUCUAAUAUAGUUGUGGUUUUUCUUGGUGAUCAGGAAGCCCAAGAUUGCUUUCUUUACACAUAAUUGGAAAUGCUGUUGAAGGAACGAUUCUAAGAAUUGAAAAAAAGUAUUGGGGUGGUGAUGAGGGAGAUUCAGUUUACCGCUGGCUUAGGGUACUUGUAACUUAAACUUUGUGUUGUGAAAGUCUUUGAUAUGAAUUUAAGUUCUGAUUAUGUCUAAGUCUUAUGUCUUACUCUGAAAUUUUUGAACUAGUACAGUAUUGUCUUGCAUUUAUUAAUAAUAACAGUAGUGAACUCGCAUAUAUGUUUCUAAUUACACUUUAAAUAGUUGCCAUAAAUAGUGGAUUCCUCUGUGCCUUGUUUUAUUUUGGUUACUGCGUUGAUGCUACUAUUUAUAAUUGUCAGUUAAAUAUUUGGGUGAUCAACUAUCUAUUUUAUGGCUUUACGUAGACCACUUCUGAUGGCACAAAAAGAGAAAUCGCGGGUGCCAAUGCUGCAUCAUAUAUGCCCUCAAUUGAUGACAUUGGCUCCUUUAUUUCUGUUUCAUGCGAGCCUGUCCGAAGUGAUUGGGCACGUGGACCUAUGGUUCUGUCUCAACAAAUUGGGCCUAUAAUACCUGGUAGUAGUUGUUUUUUAUUUUAUGGUUGUGCUUGUUAAGCUUUAUAUUGUUCAUGAAGACAUACAGAAUUUUUUUCAGGGCCACACAAUUUUAAUUAUACAACUAUUUUUACAUUACAAAUUUAGGUUCCCCAACUUGUCAUUCUCUGGAAUUUUCUGGAUCAAUGAUCGAAGGGCAGCACAUAAGCUUUAAUGCUGUGUAUACUGGAGGGUCAGGGUUCUAUUAUCCAUUGCUUAUACUUCAUGUCUCUCUACUUUUUGUACUUUUAAUUUUAUCCAUCUGGUUACUUUCCCUGUCUAAGAAUUUUGCUGCAUGCUUUUCAGGGAGCAAGGAGAUUGUACCCAUGAGUGGUUUAGGGUAAAAGACAAUGCUGUGCGAGAGAAAAUAAGUAGCAAUGGUAACUUUUAUAUUGUUUGAUCAGCUAAGGGUUAUUUAUUUGUGAUGGAAAAUUAAAUGCUUAAUAUUUACUAUUAGCAGACUUUUUGGAUUUGACUCUUGAGGAUGUUGGUGCGUGCAUUGAAAUAAUAUAUACUCCUGUGCGCAAAGAUGGAACCAAAGGCAGCCCAAAGCAUAUUGUGUCUGAUAUGAUUUCUCCUGGUAAGAUUGUUUUACACGUGAAAUUGGACAUGUUAUGAUUUUAGUGGUAGCUACUUUGUUAACAUUAAAUAAGAUAGCUCUAGUUUUGUAGGUGGAUUUUGGAUACCAGUUUUAUCAGUGACCUUUAAUUAAAUGAUAACCUUCUUUUUUUAGUUAUGGAUUAAUUAAUUCUGUAAAUGGUUUCCAAAUUAUUUUUGUAGAAAUUUCAUUUAAAUAGCAUAUUCAUCAAUGAGGAUAAGUUAGGCUUAAUGGUACCAGAGCUUAUUCUAGUGACAUUUGUUAGGCCUAUCACAAAUAUGUAGUCCCAAGUACGAGAUGUCCCUGCUUCAGCGUGAGGGUGUGUGUGUGUUAAAGAUCUCACAUUAACUAGAGAUUAGACCAAUUUAUAGUAUAUAAGUCAGGGCAAUCCAUACCUUACAAUCUGACUUUGUGAGGAUGAAUUAGACUUAAACUUCUUAAUAAUCACAAUACUGAAAACUAUAAUGAAAUGGAGCACAAUUCCUCUCUAGUUGAUGCGGGAUUUGGGUUUUGUCUGAACCCCUCAUGUCCAUACUAAAAGGUAGGAUUGUGAUUUUUUAUGCCUAACUCAACUUCAAUAUCAUGUUAGAUAGUAGAUUUAGGCAUAAUUCAACCCCAUAAAACCAAUUUAUGUGAUGAGAAUUGUCUCAACAUAUUGUAUUUUGGCACUAUCUCUAGGCAUUGUGGGACUUGUUUUUUUUUUUUAAUAUAUUUUAGCAUGGAAAAUUUUGUUGUUGUUUAGUAUCUUGAGUAACAAAAGAUUUGAGUUUUGUCUUGUACUUCAUCCUUUCUCUUAUGGUGUCCCAUACCCCACUACCAUUUUUAAAAUCAAACAUAGAACAAUUGUUUUUGUGCCCCUGGCCCUUAACUCUCUAACCCACCCUUUAUAAAUAGUGUUGUCUUAUUUGUCUCUUGUUUCUCUGUCUUUCAACAGUUUCUAUGAGGUGCAAUUUUAAUUUUUAAAUUCUAUAAUAUUUUUGUAAAGUAGUUAUAUGCAUUCCUAAUGUAAUUUCUUUAUGAUCUCCUGUGAACAGCGGAUCCUAAGGGAAUAGAGCUCUUAAUUCCUGAUUGCUGUGAAGACAGAGAGCUUAUGCCACUGAGAAAAUAUUUUGGUGGACAUGAAGCGGUUGGAGAGUAUAUUUGGUAUCAGACAAAGUGUAAACUUGAAGGAUCGGAACUGCUAGAUAUAUCUAAUGCCUCUGACGUUGUAAUAUGUGGGACAGAGAUGUAAGUACUGAGAUAUUGUUCAUGUGUUUUAUUGGAAUAAAAACUUUUCCUGAGGUUGAGGAUUUUGCCAUUAUUUUUCUUGUCAUGGCAGGAUGUAUAAACCAUUGCUUAAAGAUGUUGCAGCUUACUUGGCUUUAUAUUGGGUGCCGACUCGAGCAGAUGGAAAAUGUGGGGAGCCAUUGGUUGCAAUUAGCAGUACCCCGGUUUCCCCUGGUAUAUCUAUGAUUCUUUGCUGGAAGUUCAUUUCACUGUCUGAUGAUAGCUUUUCAUCACAUGGUUUGAAUAUUAUUGUGUUGUGGUGGGUGUGUACCUCUUGGCUCCCAUACAUCUAUUGUUGGAUGUGCCCACUGUAUUUUGUGUGCAUGUGAUAAACUUUAUUUUGUUUUAGAUUUUCAUUUGUUCUAUCAUUUUUUGCCUAACUGACAUAAAAUGUGAUAUUUAGCACUUUUUAUUGCCUAACUCCUUUAGUAAUUUGCAGCUCCUCCAGUAGUUUCUAAUGUACACGUGAAAGAGUUGUCUACCGGAAUUUAUUCUGGAGAAGGUGAAUAUUUUGGUGGACAUGAAGGAGAAAGUCUCUUUAGCUGGUAUAGAGAAAAUAAUGAGGGAACUGUUGAACUAGUUAAUGGAGCAAAUUCUAAAAUCUAUGAAGUUACUGAUUCGGAUUACAAUUUUCGAUUGUUGUUUGGGUAAUUAUUCUAUAUUAUCUUUUAACCUUUAAUGUAUGGCAAUGAAGAUAGUGUAUUGUAUGCCAUGCUAAACAUUUUAGCUUAUCUAAACUUGAACUUGAAAGUGUGAAAGGAAUGAUUUUUUCUUCUUUUAAGUCCUUGUUGCUUUGUAUCAAUAUAAAUUAUUAGAUGAUUGACUUUUUGGUCCUAUCCAAGCUGUUGAAUUUGUGGUUGAGAAAGGAUGGCAUAGUCUAUGAUUUGAAAAGUGAUUCUAUGCUAGUGGUGGGAGCUCUCUCCCAUAAUUACAUUGUUAGGAAUAUGAGAUUUCAUGUAUCUCAUAUAUAGGGAGGGAAAUCAUUGUGCCGACAGACCUUCUUCUUUUGGGGUUAGACCUAGAUGUACUAUGUGGUAAGAUCUUAUUCUAGAUUUUCUUAAGUUUGAUUUCUAUAAGAAUAGAUGGUAUUUGCCUUGUUAUAGGUUUGUUUUUUGAGUGGGUGUUGGUAUAGUCCCCCCAUAUUCUUUUUGUAUUUUUUUAUGAUAUUUGAGUAUACUGGAAUGAUUGAUAUAACUUGGAGUGUCAAUGUAGUUGGGAUAGCUUGUCAUAUAUUGGUGUUUUUGCAUACCUACCUUCUUUGCUUUUAAAAGAAAACAAUUUUCGGAGUUCCCAAAUUUGCUGUUCUUAAUUUUAUUAUUGGGCUGCUCUCUUGCCAGUAUUAUUACCGUGGUGCUUGACCUAACUAAUAGUGUAAAUAUGAUGAUUAGGUUGUAUUGUAUCAUAUUGUUUUAUGCCAUAUCAAUGAAAUAUCUUAGAAUUGAGACAGUCCUUUCUCUGUUUUUCCUCCCUGUCCAAACCCUUUAAUUUCAACCUUUAUAUCCUUUUGAUAUUAACAUUUUAAUCCUUUUUUCCCCAGAUAUACACCUAUUCGAUCAGAUUCAGUUGUGGGAGAACUUAUUUUAUCUGCUCCGACUAAUAUUGUGUUCCCAGGUAACCAUUUCCCCUGUUUAAGCAAGCCCUUGUUUUUUUGCACUGCAUUUACUUUUGAAGUGAAGCACUUUUGUCUUUCAAGAUUUUGAAGUUCUUGGAAAAUAAGUAUGGUCCUUGCAUUGUCCUUUAGAGUUUCCAUGCGUGGAGAUGCUUGCUCUGACUGGAAAGGCAGUUGAAGGUGAUGUUCUUACAGCUGUUGAAGUGAUUCCAAAUAGUGAGACUCAGCGACAUGUUUGGAGCAAGUACAAGAAAGAUAUAAGAUACCAAUGGUAUGGUGAUAUAGUUUACACUGCUACACCAAAGAUAGUAGCUGGAAUUAAAGUAUUUCUAAAAAAAUAUGAAAAACCUGCAAAAUUAAUAAUCAGGCCUCAAUUAUGAAAUUCUGUACCAUAAACAAAUGAACAAUAAUUUGUCCUUUCGAAUAAUCAAAAUAAUAAAUUUCCGAGUUAUAUGUAUUUAUCUAAAUUAGGGGAACCAUCAUUUAUUACAAUUACGAGUAUCCUCUAUUCUUUAUGAGGGAGAGUCUUGUUUAAUCCUGGAAUGUCCAUUACAUGGCGGGGUUAGCUCUUUUUACAGGUUUUUUCACACACAAGAUUCAAAUCCAAGUUGUUGCUCUAGGGAAACCACAACAUGUAACACCCAAUAAAUUAAUAGUAAAAAGAAAGCUAAAUUUAACAUUUUUUUUCCUGCUUCUGUACAAUGCAUGUGCAUAAAGUUUCCUAUAAUUUUGAAGAGGGUGGUGGACAUCAAGGAUCUUACUAUUGACUAGGGGUGGAAACAGGUGAGGCUUUGAUGGGGUGCAGUUUAAGCCUGAAUCGCCCUGUUUAAAAGUUUGUCUAGCUUGAAAGUCUAUUUAGUAGCUUAUUUUAUAGAAAAACUUAAGAAAUGAACUAAAAAAGUAAUUAGGCUAACUAACAUAAAAGGGUCAUAUUGUUGUGUUCAUCACAGAUUAUUCUUUAUUUAUUACAGAUUGUGUUAAAGGAAAUAAAAAAAGUUUCAUAAAGAAAUAAGCCAUUAUAUUAAAAAAGAACAAAUACAAAGCAUAAAUAGGCCCUCAUCUUGUCACAAGAAAAAUAAAUGAGAAGAAGUUUUAUAAACUAACAUAAUUAAGCAAUGAAAAGUAAUACAGUAAGGAAAAAUUUCAAUUAGAUUCAUUAAACAUAUGUAUCCUUCCAUUCAGCCAUUGUGCUAUUAUUCACUAGAUACAAUUCUCAAGUUUAGAAGAAAAUAAUUUCUGUAUAAUUCAGUCUCAUUACGUACAUCUUUUAUAUAUACAUACAUUAAUUGGAUAAAUUUUGAAACAAGCACUCCUUAUUGUAGGAAACAAAUCCUUGAGAUUGUUGGAUUGAUAUACUAGUAACAAAAACAAGAUACAACCAAUAUAUAGAAUUGAAAAACAAUAGCAUUGAUGACGAUGGGUCACUCAUAAAUCCAUAUGUCCAAAUACAUUUAAACAUAAUUUUUUGUUAUAAAAUUUAUUAAUAUUAAAGUUAUACAUAAAUAUAUAUAUAUAUAUUAUCAUUGUAGAAAUAAGCCAGCCUGUCAUACCUAACAGGUUUUUUCUAAGGCAUAAAAGCCUUUGCUUUUAGUUAAAAAGGUUUUUAAAAGACCUGAACCCUGUCAGGUCUUUGGCAAGCCAGAGGCAUUUGCCCUCACAGGCAGCCUGGUUUAUUUCCUCCCUUGCAUGUCAGUAGAGUCUGUUCCAUGCUCCCAUGUCAAUGACCAAUUCUCCCAAACUCUUAAGCUUUUGGGUGAUGGCAUGUACGUCUAACAAAGUAACAAUUAUUGGGGUAGUUAUUUUCAUUAUCAGGAGAAUAUUGGUUGUUAACUCAACAAUUCUUGUAGUAUAGGCUGAUUAUGUGUAGUAUAGGCUGAUUAUGUCUAUCGCUUAAUCACAUUAACAUAAUUUCAGGUUUUGUUCAUCAGAAGUUGGAGACAGUCUUUCGUAUGAUCCAUUACCUAAUCAGAGUUCUUGCUCCUAUAAGGUGCGGCUAGAGGAUAUUGGUCAUCACUUAAAAUGUGAGUGUAUCGUAACUGAUGUGUUUGGAAGGUCAAGUGAUGCAGUAUGCAUUGAGACAACACCUGUAUUGCCAGGUAAUUGCUUUCAUUGAUAGUGGCUGUUUUGGUGCUUUAAACUUCUUUGCACAUAUGAUUCCAGCAAAGAUAUUGUCUAUGAAAUAUUUAUGGCCAUUCGUGUUAUUCACAUCAUAGAGCUGUUUCUCUUACUCAAAGGAAUACACAAUGGCUUUGCAAAUUGUCAAAACUGUGAUGCCUAUUAUGUAUUUUUGGAAGCUGUUUAUUUUAUCUUUGUUAUAACUUUAUUCUUUAUUACAUGUUUAUCUUUCUGUUAAUACUAGGAGUAUGUAUUUAAAAACAAUCCCAUAAUUACAUGGAUUUGUUUCCUUAUAAUUACCUCUCUAUAUUUUCUAAAAUAACCAGAAUAAUGAAUUUAUAGGUCAAACUACCUCAUAUUUGAAAUGCAAAAGAAAUAUAAUCUUUCUAAAUUUGAGAUGGUAUUAGAGCUCCCUAUCUGUGAUAGACUCUAACCUUGUCUUUCAACCCUAAAACACAGCCUUUAUUAUUGCGCCACUUUAAAGCAUAUUACAGCCUUCAUUGCUGCGCCUCUCUGAUCCCGAUAUCAGCUUUUAUUGUUGUAUAAUCCUUCUAUAUGGUUGAGUUUGUGAAUUUUGGAAGGGAAACCGUGGACAGAUUCUAGACUACUAGAGAAUUCCAAAAUUUCUUUUAUGCUUAAGGAUUAAAUGGAAAGAAUUAAAUGGUCUACUCAUUAAGAUCAUCCUAAAAGGAAAAGAUAAGGGUAGUCACUUGAUUGAUAAUGCACCUGGUGAUAAUGAUGUCAAGUUCAAAUCUUGGGAGAAGAAUCUAUGAUCAUGGCAUGGAUGUGGAAUUCAAUUGUUCCUGAAAUCAGUGAUACCAACAUGUUUCUAAUAUUAUUCAUAGAGGAGCAAUUGCUCUUAAAUCAGAUACAAAGGCUUAAUAACUAGAAAUCUUAAUUUAAGAUGGAUAUGAUCUAGAUCAAUGAUCCCAUACAAUAAAUAUAAAAUAUACUGUCAGCCUAUUAAUCCUCCUAAUUAUGUAAUUAAAAUUGUGCAAGGAAAUAUUAAUUGCCACAUAUAUCAUGGGAUUGGUGAGUGGAUGUCAUCUGUUCCCAACUUGCCAACAAUAGAGUGAAAUGUGGCACCAAUUAGCCUUUUUGUCAAUACAUCUGCAAGUUGAAUUCUGCGGUUACAAAUGAUGUACAUAUUGUGCAAUUAUCCAAUUUCUCCUUUAUGAAGUGUUUGUCUACUUCAACAUGCUUAGUUUUAUCAUGUUGCACUAGCUUAUGCAUAAUAUUUAUUCUUGACUUGUUAUCACUAUACAAUCUCAUAGGCUUCUUCCAAUCAAUCUUUAGGAAUUCUAAAAUCAUCUUUAGCCAUAGUAUUUCACAAAUCCCUAUGGCCAUGGCUCUAAGAUCAUCUAUAGAACCUGCAUAGUCAAUGUUUGCGUAGGCUUCUAAGAUCAUCUCAUUCCCCAAUGUAAAUAGAAUUCCUCUUCCAGAAGUUGCUUUCAAGUACUGUAGAAUGCGAUAAACAAUUUUUAGACGAGCCUCCUUUGGAUUAUGCAUAAAUUGACUUACAGCCCCUGCAACAUAGGCAAUGUUGGGCCUAGUAUGAGAGAAGUAGAUCAAUUUCCCAAUCAACCUUUGAUAAGAUUGUCUAUCCCAAUCAAUUUAUUCACCAAGUUUGUGAUAAUGUUGGGCCUAGUAUGAGAGAAGUAGAUCAAUUUCCCAAUCAACCUUUGAUAAGAUUGUCUAUCCCAAAUCCCAAUCAAUUUAUUCACCAAGUUUGUGAUUUUGUUUGAAAGGUGUCUUUGUUGGUUUGCAUUCAAAUUUAAUAGUUUCAGCCAAUAAAUCUACCACAUUUUGUUGGGAGAUGAAAAUACCAUGAUGGGAAUGAGCCACAUCAAUUCUAAAGAAAUAUUUCAAUCUGGCUAACUCCUUAAUUUCAAACUUUGUUAUCAAACAUCUUUUUAAGGCUUUCACUCCUGUCUUAUCAUUACUAGUUACAACUAUAUCAUCUACAUAAACAAUUAGUGCAAUAACUCCCCUUGAAGCUAAAUGCUUAAUAAAUAGUGUUUGGUCACCUAGGCUUUGCUUAUACCCCAUGGUUUUCAUUAUAGUAACAAACGUGCCAAACCAUGCUUUCAGAGAUUGUUAAAAUCCAUAAAGUGCCUUCCUUAGUUUACACACCUUUCCCUCCUCGACUUUAAACCCAAGUAGGAUCUCUAUGUAAAUCUCUUCCUUGAGGUUACAUGCAUAAAGACAAUUGUGACAAUAAAAUUCUAACCAUAUUCAUUUUUGCAAAUAGUGAAAAAGUUUCAAGAUAGUCAAUCCCAUAUGUUUGAUUAUAUCCCUUAGCUACUAACCUUGCCUUAUACCUUUCUAUGUCCCAUCUGCCUUGUAUUUAAUAGAGAAUACCCAAUUACAUCUACAAGAGUUUUUCCUUUGGGUAGAUCCAUCGACUCCCAAGUUUUAUUCAUUUUUAGAGUAACUACUUCAACAGUUUUUGGAAUAGUGGCACUAUUUAGAUGACCAAGAAAACUUCUUGUGAUUACUAAAUAGUUUGUCAUAAGACACAAAGUGUGACAAUGAGUACAUGUUCUAAUACCUUUCCUUACUGCAAUUGGAAGAUCCUGAACUUCAAUUUCAAUGUCUGACAUUUUGUUCUUCAUUAAUGUCAAGUAUUUCGUGUACAAAUUCAUAGACUUGUAAUAAUAGACUUUCUCCUUCGUGAUUAUACUUGUAGUGGAUGGGUAGCACUCUGAGUUUGACCCAAAGGAGAAUGAAUAGGAGAAGCAACAGGACUCUACUUUGUAGAUGGUGAAAUAUUAGACUCAAUAGAAGGUGGAGUAUUAAUGGAACUUAAGUUUGUGAGAAUGAGGUUUACUGUUAAGAAUGAAUAAUCCUUAUCUUCAAUGAACGAGUUUCCCCUUGGAAAUAAGGUUGAAAAUAUUUUGUUUUUAUCAUAGCUGACAUCAUGAGACAAGCAAUCGUUUUGUUAGAGGGUGGUAACAUUUGUAUCCCUUUUGGAUAUGUGGAUAACCAAUAAAUAGGCACGUAAUAGCCCGAUUAUUAUGUUUCCCCCUAUGAUUAGAAUGAACAUGGACAAAGGAUACACAACCAAAGACUCAAGGUACAAGAUGAUUUGUUGCUUUAUACUCUGGGAAAAUUGGAGAAUAGUUGAAUGGAACGAUUAUUGUUUAUUGUUUUUUAGGGUAGACGAUUAACCAAAUAGGUAGUAGUAAGAACAACUUUUUUCCAAUUGUUUUGGAACAUUUUUAUGGAGAAGAGAAACUCGAAUUACAUGUAUGAGGUGCUCAAUUUUUCAUUCGUCCACCCCAUUUUGUUGUGGGGGUGUUCACACAAGAAGAUUCAUGAAUUAUUCCUUGUUCAUUGAAGGAGGACAAUGUUUGGUUGAAAAAUCUUUGGCAUUAUCUAAGCAGACUCUUUAGUGGUUGUCUCAAACUGAUUUUUAAUCAUUUGGAUAAAUUUUUUUGAAAACCUUGCUUGGAUACCAUGUCAGAAGAAUUGUUUAUAAUAUUCUUCAUAGAGGAGCAAUUGUUUUAAAUAGAAUACAAAGACUUAAUAAUUGAAAAUCUUAAUUUAUGAUGGAUAUAAUCUAUCCCUACAAUUCAGGAUCAAUGUUCCUGUACAAUAAAUAUAAAAUAUAGUGUUAGCUAAUUAAAUCUCCUAAUUAUGUAAUUGAAAUAUUGACCACAACAUAAAUCAUGAGAUUCAAACUACAAUCAAUCAUUGAGGUAGACACAUUUUAUCAAGGAAAAGCUAGACAAUGACUUGAUUUGCACCCUAUAUGUGUUCACUCGAAAUCAACUUGCAGACAUACUCACGAAUGGGUUGAAUUGCAUUAACUUUGAAAGAAUUAUAUCCAAGUUGGAAAUGAAGAACACUUACUCACCAACUUGAGAGGGAGUGUCAAAAUUGUGUUGUUCAUUAUGUAUUUUAUGAUGUUUUUUAUUUUGUUCUUGUUAUAAUUCUAUACUUUAUUAUAGUUGUAUUGUAUCAUGCUAUUAAUAUUAGGAUUAUGUAUUUAUAAACGAUUGCAUAAUUACAUGGAUUUUUUUCCUUUGAAUUAGCUCUCUAUAUUUUCUAAAGUAACCAACAGACUAAUGUAUUUGUAGGUCUAAUGACCUCAUUAUUAAAACACAAAAGAAAUAUAUUUUCUUUCUAACUUUGAGAAAAAUGACAUCAUUAUUGAAAUACAGAAGAAAUAUAUUUUGUUUCUAAAUUUGAGAAAAAUGAAAAUAUGAAAUUGGACCACCUGAUGCCCAACCAUGUGAUUCUUCAUCCUAUCAUUUCCUACAUACCAAAGAGUGUAGUGUUUUAAACAUUUAUUGCCAUUUCUUUUUGUGAUUGAUUUGCCCUUGAUCUUUUUUUCAUGCAUUCUUCUUGUGUUAAAGUAUUAUAUUUGCAUUCUUAGGAAUUCCUAGAAUACACAAGCUUGAGAUUGAGGGAAGGGGAUUUCAUACCAAUCUCUACGCUGUUCAUGGCAUUUACAGUGGUGGAAAGGAAGGCAAAAGUAGAGUUCAGUGGCUUAGAUCAAUGGUUGGAAGUCCUGACUUGAUCUCCAUACCAGGUAUGCUAAAUCAUUUAAGUUACUUAAACUGAUUCUUUUCUGGUUAAAGUAUUGAGAAGUAUAUGAUUGAAUUACAAUAUAUCCACCACAAGGACCGUAUUGCUUAUUUUGACAUUUUACCAUGUCCUAUGAUGGAGAUCUCACGAUUAGUGAUUCACUAGUUGGUUUUGUAAGUUUGAGUGAGAUAUAAACUUACUAACAUGGUAUUAGAGCCAUAUUAAAAAAAACCUAUCCUAGCAUAUUUGUUAGGGGUAUUGUGCCGCCGCUAUUGAGCUCUUGUUGGACUACUCACAAACCUCAUCUUCCAUCCUAUUGUUUGAUAAGUGGUAGCAACAACACUCUUAUGUUUUGCCUUUAACGUUGGUCAAAGUUGAUUGAAAACUACAAAAUCAUGAGUUGAAUUCAUUAAAUAAGUAGUGAGGCCAACAAAUUUUUCAUAAUUUAUAAUAAAUUUUUAUUGAUAAUAAAGAUUGUGUAAGCUUAUCUUUGAUAUUAUAGGUUUUCUUACUGGGGUUUUGGCUUUGUCCCUCCAGUUGCUUGUAUGACACUUUUAAUUGUUUUUAUGGUACUUGUGGUGCUGCAAAUGAUUGUUAUUUGGGGUGUUAACAUACUUUGGAUGCCAAAUAACAUAGUGAUGUUCUGUUGUUUGAUUAUUGGAAUUUGUGAAGGAGUGGCAACCGACAAGGGUCAAACUUGAGGUCACACUUAGUAGAAAUAAUAUUCUGGAUUGACUCAAAAUUGGUUUCUUUAUUUUUAAAAGUUUGGGCUGCUUAAUGACUUGACAGCUUGUUUGAGGAGAGUAAGUAGGAGAUAUUACCCAAUCCGUGUCUCAUGUGCGCAAUGAAAUGUUUGAUUUAUUAUAGUGAGUAAUAAUUAUAGAGAAAAUAUUUACCCAAUUACUGUAAAUAUAUAAAACUUAGAUUUGCCAAUUACCAUAAUUAAGGGCGUCACAGGUUGCCUUCAUUAUUGCCACUUGCCAGUGGACUUCUUUGUCGGUCCUCUCAUGAACUGAAACUAUUAGAAAGUGUUGGAGAUUCCACGUUAACUAGAGAUUAAAAUAUUUCAUUCUUUAUAAGUGGGUGCACACCUCAUCUUAUAAGCCGGUUUUAUGAGGUUGAGUUAGGUUUAAAAUCCGCUUUUUAACAUUGCAUCAGAGUUAUUUUAAGUCUAUCCUAAUGAGAGUUUGUUAGGCCUAUUUUGUCAUCUACUAUUGGACCACCCAUAACAUAUUUCCACGCAUGAGGGGGUGUGUUGGAGAUACCACAUCAACUAGAGAUUAAGAUAUUUCAUUCUUUAUAAGUGGGUGCAAACCUCAUCUUAUAAAGGUUGAGUUAGGCUUAAAGUCCACUUCUUAAUAGGUUCAAAGUUAUUUUCCAAAUAGAGCUUAGCCUAUAUUUGUAAAGUGAUUUUCCACGUGGCACUUUUAUGAUCUUACUUGCAAGCUAAGGAUAAUUAUCCAUGUACUAUGUUGAGGGGUCUUGAAAUAUAAUUAGGAAAAUUAAAUUUAUUCCAUUAAUUGGACUGAUUUCAAUUGAUUUGUAUAAUUUUUAUUCCUUUUUUUUAUUUCCUUAAUUAGGUGAGAUGCUGUGAACAAUUGCCAUGUGUAAUCUCUCUAAAAGCACAAGUCAAAAAGUACAAUUCAGAUUUCUUUCUUUCUUUCAAGUUCUUCUUUAAACAUGUACUCUCGUUGUAAUUGCCCAAUUGGCUAAUUACAUGUUUAUCUUAUAUAACUAACAUCUAUUAAAAGGUAAAUACUUUCAAAUUAUAUUAUAAAUAUUUUUAAGCAAAUAAAUCAUUUUUUUAACAAUUUAUAGUGUAAUAGAAAGUUAUUUUUAACUAUAGAGCAGUGCUUUUGUCACAACCCUUAGUAGAUGACUAAUGCCUAAAAUUAGGGAUGACAAAUAAAUUUGUGUCUAUGGGUAUUGUUUGAACUCAUCUUUAUGUUGAUGUGAUGAAUUGACCUGGCAUGAGUAUGGAUAAUAUCCAACUUUUGAAAUCAGGGACGAAUAUGUACAUAUCGAUCCAUCCUCAUACUCAUCCUCGUUUUUAAGUUAUUGAAAGAACCUUAAAGACAUCUCCAAUAGGGAUUAUUUAUAGAGUUUCUUAAAUAUUUUUUUUUGCUCCUACAAUACUUUUUGUGAUCUCCACAAUCUUGCAUCACUUCCAAUGGUAUACGAUAUCAAGAAACCCAAAAAACUCAUUUUUAUAUAUUUUUUUACUUAAUUAUGUUUCAAAUAAAUUUUAUUUAAGAAUUUGUUUAUCUUUACUUGAGAAAUUGUUUUUCUUUGUCUGAUAAACUAUUAUUAGGUUGAAGAAACUUUGUUCCACAUAGGAUCUUUUAAAUAAUAGAUUUCUUCAAUCUUUCAAGUCAAGGAACUAAUUAAGAAAUCACAAUUGGAGAUGCUCUUAGUUUAUUUGAUACUCUUUUUUGAAAUUUAUGCCUUUAUAAUUUCUUCAUUGUUAUUUGGCAUUGAAAAGAAGAAAAUAUGUUCUUUUGACUUUCAAUUAUUGGUUAUAUCAUGUUUUCUUUGUUUUUUAUUUUUUAUUUUUUGUAAAGAAUUAUUUAGUAAAUAUUUGAGCGGGUAUAAGUAUGCUCCUUAUUUGAGAGAGACUAGAUACAAAUUUCAUAUCUAUAAAGUAUCGAGGAUGGGGACGAUUAUGAGUUUUAAUUUGGUGAUGGAUGGAUACAGUCAAACUUGCACCUUCCAUGCCCCAUUUUCGUCUCUAUCUAAAAUAUGACAUUGGAGCACCUCAUACAUAAGCAUGUAUGUAUGUACAUAUACAGAUGUAGUGUCCAAGCUCAAAAUAUUUUUUAAUUGUAACAUGUUGGGGAGGUGUUCAACAUGCAUUGAAGGAGAAUGAGAUAUCGAGAUUCAAUUUAGAAAAAGGAUAGAUACAAAGAGAUAAGGUGUUAAUAGAAAUCCCUAAAAUUGUUCUCAUUGGAGAAAAAAAGCUUUAAAAAGUACUCUGUUUAGCAAUAGCUCCUAACAUUGCUCUAUUUCAAGAUAACUUUUCCAAUUUUAGUAAAAAGAGGAUAAUAUUAUCUGAUGUGUAAUGCACACGGAUUCAGUUGUCUCUUGUUUUCUCUUCCGUUCCAUAUCUUUUAUUUCAUAUAUUACUUGUUAUGUAUCUUCAUUAACCCUAUUAUUUUUUCUUUUUAAUGAUUAAACUACAGGAGAAACUGGCAGAAUGUAUGAAGCGAAUGUUGAUGAUGUUGGCUAUAGGCUAGUGGCUAUCUAUACUCCUGUAAGAGAUGAUGGAGUAGAGGGGCAAUCAAUUUCGGUAUCCACAGAGCCAAUAGCAGUUGGUAAGAUGAAAAUCUUUAUCUAAUUAAUAACAUAGUUUUUGUAUAGUUUACCUUAGACAUUAUGUAGUAAUUCAGGGUGAGUGUUGAAAUAUUUGUUCAUUUCUAGUUUUAGCUAAAUGUUUUUGAAUUCGUUAAUAUGAUGAGCAGGCAAUAAAUAUUUGAAAACUAAUCCAUUGUUUUGGCACCCUUAACAAUUGGUCAGACUUUUCCCAUAUAUUCCUAUUUCUUGCAGAUCCCACAACUACUACCCUUAAGCCCUGGUCCUUUUGCACUAACUAACCCUGUGUUGAAUGUCGUGUGUGAUCCUUCAUUGUGUCUUGUUGAAAAGAUUCACAUUUAUUGUCCUCAUGUACAGUUUCUCACGUUUCGAUGUAUUUAAUUUAGUGUUCAUGUACAAGUAUCUAGGAUGUUGCAUCCCUUAUUAUUAUCCUUGGGAAUAGUCUCCACUAAUGUCUAUCAAGAAUCUAUACUUAUGGACUAUAUGCAAAACCUAUGCACAACACAUUCUUUUGAACAAUAAAGCAUUCUCAAUCUCUAAAUUCUGUAUAGAAUAAUAUGCUCCAUCUUCCCCGAGUUUAACGUGAUAAUAGAGUAGCUAUCUAUUAUAACCUGUCCCAUUACAGUUCCAUUGCCAGGUUUCCUUUAAAUUUUGGAUUCCCUUUACUUACUGUUAUUUUCUCUCUUAUGCUGUUUCCUCACACUGUUCUCCAGCGUUGUACAUAAAAUGCAAAUUCUGUACGAUCUCUUUCUCGCUAGUUAUCUCUGUUGUUUUUUGUCUCCUCUACUGUAUAAGGUUAUCGAUAAACUAUAUAUAGGAAAGAGACAUUGAACUGAAAACUGUGUGGUUUUGAUAGAGUACGGAUGCUUUAUUUAUUUUAAGAAAAAAAAAUGAUUAAAUAAAUACAUGAGAUUUAAUAUCUUCGCAUAGUAAAAAUAUGAUAUGGGAAUAAAUAAAAACGUUUUUAAUGCAUAUUGAUCUAUAUUCUUUAUUAUAUAGGAUCUGCUUCUUGUGUCUAUAAUUAGAAGUUAUCAAUAGCAGAUAACAGUCUAUGGCAGUGAGCCAAAAAUCCACCAUAUUUAUAUGGUAGAAGCCAGUGAAAUACACACACACAUAUAUAUAUACAGAGAGAGAGAGAGAGAACUAAACGAAAUAGGAAAAAUGAAUUUAAAAUGGCAAUCUUAAACGAACAACAGAAGGAUAACAUGUUCAGGAAUUCUAAAAACAACUAAAAUUAUGAAGUUCAUAAAAAUACCAAGAACUAAAAUUCUGAAACAUUCAAACCAUAGCAUCAAUAUAUUGAAUAGAUAAAAGAUUGAAGAACAAAAGCAACCAUAUACAGAAUAAGAGAGAGAAAAGAAAUGUGGGAUAUCGUCUGAAGAAAUCAAGAACAGAUGAAAACAAGCAAAGAAAAAGAAGUAAAUGGAAGGGUUGCUGCAGUGGUCGGUUGCAGUUUAAAGGGUUUGCCGAAUUGCAGAUGAUAAGAAAAGAGAAUCACUAAGUUUCUCUCUUUUUGUGGUUUCACUUAAAUAAGGGAAGAGUGAGUGUCAAAAAGCUAUAACCUAAAAGUGGUUUAUAAAAUUGAAAAUAUAUUCCACCUUGGGUGCCAUUAAGGUGCCACGAUAGUGGAUUUGGCAGAAUAUCUUCUCUCUAUAUUUUCUACUGUCUUUUGCAGUUUUGCUUGUUUGGUUUGUGGGUAUGGAUACUUUGGACGUGUUCAGUUAAGCAUUUUUUUUACGAUUUUCUAGACAGAACAUAACAUUUUGUAUGAGCUUUAAUUCAAUGCAGAGCCCGAUGUUCUUAAAGAAGUGAAGCACAACCUUGAACUUGGAUCAGUGAAGUUUGAGGUGGGAUAUUUAUUGUCUUUACCAUGUUGAAAAUGUAUUGUUGAUUGAGAAAUGCUUGUGAUAUACACUAUAUUCCUACACUAUCAAGCCUAGCUAAGCAAUUUGUUUUGUCUGAGUACCUGAAAUGUUAAAAUAUUUUUUUGGAUAGAAGAUUGCUAAGUCUUCACUGCGGAGUCUUCCUGUAUCUCAUUGAUUCAUUCUGUUUGAGUUUUGCUCUAGAUUUUAUCUUUGCUAGAAAAAUUGGUCUUUUUAUGCUUUUCUUUAACCUUAGUUUUGAGAUGUUUUACCUUUAGUGUUUUAAUCCUUCAUAAGCUCAUUGCUUGUCUUCUUUGACAGGUAUUAUGUGACAAAGACCAAACCUCAAAAAAGGUAUUCUAUAGUCUUCUAAUGUUUGUGUAUUCAUUUUGAAGUGGUGGAAAAACCCAAAAGGGACUGGUGCCAAUUGUCAUAAUUUUUUUUUUCAGAUUUCAUCAGUGGGCACAUACGAGAGACGUAUCCUUGAAAUUAACAGGAAAAGGGUGAAGGUUGUAAAGCCUGCCACGAAGACUUCUUUUCCAACUACAGAACUUCGUGGUAGUUAUGCCCCUCCCUUUCAUGUAAGUUUGGGUGACUUAGAAACUCAUUUUUCCUGAUCCAUUAUAUAAUUUUAAAUUCAGCUUAUCAUAUAUCCUUGAUUUUCUCGUAUUGAUCUUUGAAUGUAUCAGGUGGAGCUUUUCAGGAAUGAUCAACACCGUCUUAGGCUUGUAGUGGACAGUGAGAAUGAAGCAGAUUUGAUGGUGCACUCCCGACACAUUCGGGAUGUUAUUGUUCUUGUGAUUCGAGGACUUGCUCAGCGAUUCAACAGUACUUCUCUCAAUUCCCUUCUCAAGAUAGACACAUAAACUCGGUUACAUUGUAUAGUCAUAUUUGUUCCAGGAAAGUAGGUUGUUGAGGCCAGUUUUCUCACAUUUUCUUUAUCCUGGGUGCAACUCUUCUUAUAUUAAGAUAACAGUUUUUAAUGCCAUAAUCAUUCUUAGGUCAUUUGCGUUGUGAAUUUUGUUUGCAUUUUAGAUUAGGGGUAGGGUAAGUAUUAUAGUAUCCAUGGUUUCCGAAUCUGCUGUUUAAAAAAAUAUCCAUGCAUAUCCUCCUCUACUCACCCAGCUCAUAUUUUAUCCAUACUUACUAAUAUAAUAUGCUUACUUCUCUAUAAAAUAUUAAUUAAAAAAUACUACAAAAUUUCAUAGAUUUCAAUGUUAUUAAUCUUUUCCAUGUCAUGAGUACUAACGUUGAUGACAGAGAAGGGUUAUUGGUAAAUAUGUAUAUAAUUUAGUUUGUCAAAAUUCUUACUGUCUAUGUAAUGUAUUUAUACUAUUUAAUAUCAGUGGAAAGACGCGUUUAUACGCAUGUUUAUUAUUUGUUUUUUUUUAUAAUAAAAAAUAUGAUUAAAAUAUUAUAAUAAUUAUUAAAGUUUAUAUUGAAGAUAUAAGAAAUUAAUAUAGAAAAAAUAUAUCAAAAAAUAAUUGUUUUAUUAAUUUUAUAUAUUGUAUUUGUGUACAACAGAAUAAUUAUUAUUUAUUGGAGGUUUUUGAAAGUAAUAAAAUCAAUAAAUGGUAAAACUAAAUAUGAUAACAGAAUGUGUACACUAAAAUAAAUAAAAGGGAAUUAUAGAUGUUUUUAAUUUAAACUAAAAGUUAGAUUACAUAAUUUUGUAUAAAUAUUGUGUUUCUAUUUAAAUAAAACAUUUAAUGUUGACUAAAAGGUUGACCAGGAUCACUUUUAAUGAUAGGAGGAAGUAUGUAUAUUAAGAACCAAAUCGAUCUAAAAAUUUAAUCAAAAAUUUAUAAUCAAUUAAAAUUAAAAGUUUUUGUAUCAAUUUGGAUUUUUUUUCAGAACCAAAAAAUUUGAUUUUCCAGUCUCAUGUCAGAAUCAUUCCAAAUAGAACUAAACUGAAAUCAAUUGUUUAAACAUAAUAUUAUUUAUUAUUUCAUUUAUAUAUAUAAGAGAAAUGUAUGAGAGAAAAUUGAAUAUGUUUAACUCUGUUCAUUCUUUAAAUAUGUGGUGGUAGUAGGGGUGGCAAAGUGGGUCGGUCCGCCCUGCUUAGGUUGCGAAAAUGCGGGACGGGUUGGCUCGUCCCGCAUAUAAAAUGUGGGCUGGUUUUCAUGAUCCGCCCUGCAUGCGGGUUGGUCCGCGAACUUGCAGGCCGACCCUUUUUUUUUUUCUUUUUAAAGUAGAGGAGGAGUGGAACAGUUGCAGGCGAAGCCACGCGGAGUCGCGAGCGGAGCGAAAGGAGAGUGUGUCGUGUGUUGUGUGUAUUUUUUUUGAACAAUGUAACUAUGUUGUGAUUUGAGUGAAAACCUAAUUUUCUUUCACUCAAAGUUGUCACUCCUCCACUGGACCAUUGCUGUCAAGUCAAUUAAUUUUUAAUUUUUUUUUGGUGGGCUAGCGGGCUAGCCCGCCCCGCCGUGCUGCUGGCCCGUGCGGGCAGCGGAUUAUGCGGAGCGAGCUAAUACGGGUCAGCGGGUUGAAAACGUCAGCCUGUCUCGUGUUUUUUACUGCGGGCCGCGGACCAAACGUUCGGCCCCACUUUGCCAGGUGGUAGAGAAAUAACAUAAUAUAUGUAACAUAUAAAUGAGACCAAAUACAUGUAUGGAUAAAUAUGCAAGUUAUUCAUAUUUCAAUCAUUACUAAGUUAUGUUUUAAUACAAAUUUGAUGUUGUUUUAUUAGAACAAUAUAUCAUAGAAUCCAAAAUAUUAUAUUAUUAAAAAAAAGUAUAGAUACGUGUAUACAAGUUGGUUAAUAUGUUUUAAAUACAUAACCCUCUCCAGAGUUCAUGAGUUAGUUGGUGUAGAAGUUGUUCUCAUGUACAUGCAAAUUUUUACUUAAGCACAUAAUGGGGAAAAAUAAUGUAAGUUUUUCAAAUUAACAAGUUUGAAUUUUUCGCAAUAGGGUACCACCAUCAUGGGAAGACAUAGCUUAAAGAAAGAGAGAUCUCAACCAUAUUUGUUAGAGGCACUUUACCUUUAAUUUCCUCUAUAAAUACUACUCCAAUGUCUAACUUUCAUAUUUCAAGUAAAACAAACAUUUCUAGCAUCAUUUUUACUUAUUGUACAAACAUGGGACUAUGUAUAGAUACAAUUCACAUUUUGUGUGUAUAAAUUUAUGAACUAAGAAUAGUAGAUUUUUUAUAAGCAAAAAUUUAUUAAGAAACGGGGGAUAAAAAUACUUGUAACUCAAAAAGUUUUGCAACACAAAAUCAAAAUGAAUAAAAAAGAAAGGUUACAUAGUCAAUACAACAAUAAAAAUAUGUAAUAAGCAUUGUUCAUUUUGGCUUUGAAUUAUGUUUGCAAUUUAACAUAUAUUAAAUCCAGCAUAUAUUUUGAAAUCAAAAUAAGUAAUGGUUAAUGUUUAUAUAUUUUAUUUAAAAAAGUAAAAAUUAUAAUUAAUUGGGAAUAUAUUCCAAAGUAAUGUAAUAUGUGACCAACUAGCAAACACAUUGAGCAAACACAUAGAGAUAAGUUAAGUCAUAUACUAGCUAGAUUCAGGAUUUGACUCACCAAAAAAUUGACAAAUGAUGAUAGUAACGAGUGUAGAUCCUUAACAAAAGUCAUCAAAACCCAUAAUUUAUAUGCAAAAGGACAUUACUAGAAAGAAAGAAAAAAUUGUAUGACAAUGACAUAAGUUAGUAAAAUGGUGAUCAAGCUGGUAAAUGAAUUAUUAGAUUGUAAUUUUAGUUUUUUUUGUUGAUUUUAUAUUUCUGAAAUUUAUUAUUAUUCUUUUUAAAAAAAUAUUUUUAAUUAUAGUUAAUUUUAAAAAGGAAAAAUGAUAAUUAAAAUUAUUAAAAGUGAUAUUUUUUUUUAAAGUAAGGUAAAAAGAUUACUUGUAGGUGCAUAAUGUAAAUAAUCAAUGUAUUUUUCAUUAUCCAAGAAAUAUUAGUUUAUAUAAUUUACUUUUAUAAUUUAUUUUUAUUUCUAACAAAAUAUUAAGCAUAAGUUUUAUACUGUUGAAUAGUUAUUAUUAUUUUCAUAACGUAAAUGGUUAAAUCAUAUAGCUAGAUAUAAUCAUUAUUUUAUAUUAUAUUAUAUUAUAUUAUAAAUUAUGUGUCUUUAUCAUUUUAUGCACAAAAAUAAUAACAAAAUGAAUUUAAUAUAUUAGGAAUGGAAUUUCUUUUAUAUUAGUUUUAAAUUGUGUAAGAAUAAAAGAAAAGAUAAAGAAUAUUUUUACAUUUUAUAUAAUUUUUAAUAUAUUCUAAUUAUAAAUAGGAAUUUUAAAAUAUAAAAUAUUUGUUACAUAAAAUAAAACGUAUAAGAUUAAAAAAAAUAUGUCUCAAAUUCUAAAACACCUUUUAAUAAACUACAUUUCAUUUUAAGAGAUGAUUGUUAUAAGUCCAUUACUUAAAAGAAUAUAAAAAAAAAAUCAAACGUUAACGUAUUGUAACAUAUAAUUUUUGAAAUCAUUAUAUCCCAAAACUUUUAUCUUAACUAAAUAAUAAAAUUUUAAAAAUAAAAAUUAUAAGAAUAAAUAACAAACUACAUUUCUCUUUACCUAAUCUAUUUGGAUAUGUCUCUUUCAGAAUUUGAUUGUACCUUAUAGUAGUUUGAGAAUUAAAGAUUGUUCUAUUCUAAAUAGUUUUUCAAUCAGACCUUAUAAGUGUUGGCUAAUUUCUUGCUGAGGAAGAAAAAAUUUGAAGUAAAGGAAGUCACCUUAAAUAAUCUUACUUAAUGAAUUUAAAAUAGAGUUUGUUUCACUGUGAAAGUUUUAAUGGCAUAAUCUGUUGUGCACGUGAGUUUGAAGUUCAUUUAUAAUGCAUGAGUCUGAAGUUAUUUAGUUGCUUAUCGAGUUGGGAAUUAAUGUUCUGUAGAUGGAAUUGAAGUUCUUUCUUGUUUGACAAUUUAAAGCCUCCAUUUUUAAAAAGUAAAGUAAAUUCAUUUAGGGUUUGAUCACCAUUUUACUAUAUUUCACAGGAAAUAAUUUUAUGUCAUAGCAUAAAAAUGUCGCUUUGAGUUAAAACAAUUUUAUUUUUCGAAUAAAAAUGUCGCUUUGAGUUAAAACAAUUUUAUUUUUCGAAUUGUCUUAAUUCUAAUGCAAGAGGUAUCGUUUGAGAUACUCUAUUUAGUAUUUCUAGAUCAAACGUGUUUAACUAGAGUUAUCAUCUCAAUCACUCUAGUGAAUACAUCUUUUGAUACACUCUCUUAGUGAAACUAUUUUUUCUCAAACAAGAAAUAUUGUUUAAUAUUCAUGUUCAAGUGAUUUUUCUAGUUUUUAUGAAUAUGUAUGUCAUGCAUAACUAUAUAUAUAUAUGCAUAAAAUAUUGAACUGAAAAGUAUAUUUAUAUGCAUAAAAUAUUGAAUAUUGAAUUGUAUGUUUCAACGAUUUAUUGUUUUAUUUAAAGUGAAUUACAAUGUAUGGAUGUUAUGUGAAUUAAUAUUUGAAUUUGUGUAUUAAGUAUCCGAACUAUAAAAGAUAUCUUUGACUUCACUGGUAGUCUAAGUUACAUAGACUAAGACAUCAAAUAAUGAGAAGUUAAAUAAGGGUUUAUUGCACAUAUGACAUGUCAUGUGUUUUGAAUUUUGGAAGCCUUAAACUUAUCCUGAACCAAUGAAAAAUAUUUGUUAUAUGUGGAUUCAUGUGUAAUUUGUAUAUAUAUGUAUGCAUUGUAUACGUGUAUGACGAUAUAAUGAUAAAUCAAGUGAAAUUUUAUUUGUAUAAGUAAAUUAUUAUGAAUUUGUGAUGUUAUAAUAGUUUUUUUGGAUUAUCUAAUUAUUUUUUACUUAUGUCAUUACCUAUUAUAAAUGUAUUGAGUACACGAAUAAUUCACAUAUAGACACGAGCAAUUCUAGAUCCUUGAGUUGAGUCUUUGAUAAAAACUCAUUUAAGUUUUUAGUUAUUUAUGAUGAACAACAUGUAUAUAUAUUUUACAUUUUUACUAAAUUUUAUUUAAAGUAUUGAGUAUUAGGGUGUUAUAGCAUUGAUAUCAAUCUUUAAGGUAUCGAUCACUUACUUCUAUAAUUGAGACAAAUUUUCUUACACGGAACAUUUUCCUUAUGAGAAUCUUAGAGAAAAUUAGUUAAAAUAAAAAAUAUUAGUUAAUUUUAAUUUAUACAAAGAAAAUAUUUUUUUUUAAUUUUUCUUAUAGAGGAUUUUUACAUUUAUACAUAAAAUAAUUUAUAAAAGUUAUUUUUAUUGAAUUUUUCUCAUGCAGAGUUCUUCUCCAGUGGAAAAUGAUAAUUAACUUUUUUUUAUUUACUAAAUGCAUUCUGUAUUUACAAUAAUUAUGAAACCAUUUUUAUUAUUAUAACACUUUAUCACUUAAAGUUUUAAUUUAUUUUUUUAAUUGUAACUUUUUACUAUAGUAUAAGAUUCACAAACUUUUUAUUUAAAAUUAAAAUCCAGAAUCUAAAAUUUAAUGUGAUAUAACAUGUUUGAAAGAGAAAGUUUUUUGUGAAACUAAAUUCUUAAACUUAUAAUCUGAAUAUAUAUAAGUCUGUAUCACUUAUUAAUACAGAACCAUAAUUAAAUGGCCCAAUUUGAAAUCUCAGAAACAACUAUUUUCUACAUGCCUGUGGUCGAAACACAUUCAUAUGAACUUGAAGUUUCUUCCAAAAGUACAUAAGAAGUGAGUGGUUUUGAAAAAUAUUCACAGUGGUAUGGAGUUGUACGUGCAUGUUCCCUUCUACUUUUCAACACCAACCAUAACAAGAUUACAGAAAACAUAUAAAAUUCACCUACUGAGAUUGCACCUACUAUGGCCCUCAGAAGAAGUAUAAAAGGGCAUGAUUGUUGUGUGUUAUUUUCACCAAACUAAAGAAAUGAAUAACAUGGUAAUGGUUUCCUUAAGCUCCCUUUUGCUCCUCUUUGCAUCUCUGAUUCAAUCAGCACUUGCUGAAUAUGGCAGCAACCCUCCUUCUGAGCCACCAUCUCCCAUUUAUAAGCCUCCAACUCACAAAACACCCUCCUUUUACAACCCACCAAUUGGGAAAACCCCACUCAACAAUGCACCAUUUCAGAAACCCCCACUUUUUAACACCCCUAUUCAAAAAUCACCAUUUUACACUUCACCAUUUCAGAAACCCCCACCUUUUGUGCCACCAUUUUACAUGCCACCCUUUGAGAAACCACCACUUCAGAUGCCACCCUUGGAGAAACCACCACUUUUUGUGCCACCCCUUUCUGUGCCACCCUUUGAGAAACCACCACUUUUUGUGUCACCCCUUUCUGUGCCACCCUUUGAGAAACCACCACUUUUUGUGCCACCCCUUUCUGUGCCACCCUUUGAGAAACCACCACUUUUUGUGCCACCCUUUGAGAAACCACCGGUUUUUGUGGCACCCUUUAAGAUACCACCACUUCACAUUCCAGCAUAUUGCACAUGUUUCUGAAGUAGUGCCAUACAUGUCUAGAGGUGCAGUGAUUUGUGC
rnacentral:lncRNA from 1 species